rnacentral:lncRNA from 1 species
CUGUUAUAUAGACUAUAAAAGGCUCUCUUACUUGACUAGCUCUCAAUCUUCCUAACUUCCCCUGCCAUUUGAGACUCCUCUAAUGCAAAUAGGAAGAAGGCGACUAGAUGCCCUUAGGUUUGAAACCUAACUUGCCUUUUACCUAAAAUCCAUAGUAUAAGAAGAGACAGCUCCCAAGCAAGACUGCAACAUCUACUGGUAUAGGGAGAUAAAGAGAUUCUUAUGGUCCGACGAGGCUCUUAGCACCUUUCUUAAGGCUCUUUCCGAGGCUCUUAGCACCUUUCUUAAGGAAGGCUCUUGGUGCUAUUUCACUAGUUAGAAUAUCCCUAGCGAUAGGGACUCGUAACGGUAAAUGGCUUAUUUGAAGGAAGACUCUUGCUAUUCAGCCAAAUAGUUCUCCGCCAGGCAUUUCUAGUCCUAGUCCUAGAGUAAGUAAGGUGCUGAAAGCCUUGACUUGUAAAGUGGGUAGCUAGAGUGAAAGCAAGGUCAGUAAAUCAGGCAUUCCACCGCGGAUCAAUCGUAUGAAAGCAAAGCAUCAGCUGGAGAUGCAUAAUAGGAAGGUGAGGAGCACGCUUCCCUUUUGUAAGAGAAUUCAUUGACUUUAUGCGUUUUACCUCUGGUUUCGCAUCUCUUUAGUGGUAGGCUGUGAGGAGUCAGCAGAAAGGAGAGCUGACCUACGGGUUUCCGUACCGGCUCAGUGAGUUUUGUUCGUACCGAACUAAAGGCUUCUUUACUGAAAAGUGCAGCGAGGUUAGUUCUUCCACGAUUGGUAGCACUCGUGUAAGGUCAAGGGUAUAAUCAUCCAUCUCCUAAGGGUUAAGAGAAACUAUGGCUAGGAUAGUGGGUAAGGAUCAUAUAGACUAAAAGGAGUGAGUCUUAUUCCAGUGCUUGAAGCCGAGCGCAUUGGAAGCAAAGGCAAAGGUCCCAUUCCUCUACUCUAGUUGAAGUACAAGUUCAUAAAACCCCGUAAUGAAGUCGUUUUUUUCGAGUUCAUGGAUAUCCUCACCUUAGUGGUUCUUUUUCCUCUUUAUUGUCAGUUUGUUUCCGCGGGCUAGGGACGAAGUGAGUCGACUGAAAAGAUAGGGAUUCAAUGAGUCUAUUCUUUGAAUCUUUCUCUUAUAGUGUAUAUAGUGAGUUUCGUUCUUACUCGUGUUUCAUCUCUGAAUUAGGCAAGGGAGUAAUGAAGGUCGUGAGGCGCAUUCUCUUUUGUUUAAUAUCUUACCUGCUGUUAUUCUAAUUGGCACUAAGGAUGUUACCGAAAGUUAGGGCCUUUCCCGCUAGGGCAGUGAAGUUCGUGCUAAAUGACCGAACGACUGGUCAUGAGUCUUCUCUUCUCCCACUGAGAACAGAGCAGCUGGGUGAAUUCUUCUCUGAUUCCGGAAAAUGGUGAUCCGUUUCUGGAAGUCCUUUGCUUUAGGCUUUCAGCACCUUUGUUGUCUUAAGUGAUCUAUUAGAGAGCUUCCCUGUUACCACCCGAAGGGUCAGAUAAGAAAGAGAUGCUCUGUGCCAAGUCUGGUAGGCUUUUGCAAAUAGAUUUCUGACGUAACUGCCUAUCAUGCCAUGACGCUGUUGCUCUCGCGCAGUGCCAUCUUCCUCGGUAUGUAUCAAUUUUUGUAAAGUGUUUUCGCUUUCGACUAAUUAUGUUAAGGCUCCCAAUCGAUGCGCCAAUCGUAGACAGGUGACCGGGGAAUGAAUGAUGGCUUCAGCUCCAUACACUAUAAUGAAUGGCGUGUUUCCUGUCGUUGUUUUUGAGGUUGUUUGUGUAUAUGCCCAACGGUGGGUAACCCAUGUAACCAAUCUUCACCGGCGCACUGAGUAAGCAUACUAAUUAAGACCAAGUUGGUGGAUUUGGCCUGUCCAUUCGCUCUAGGUAAUGUAAUAUGGGCUCGACUUCCUUUGAGCUAUGAGAAAUGAAUAGGGCCACCCAACGCCUUAUUCAGAUUUCUUUUGUUUCUUGACCGGCUACAAAGAUCGCUAUGGAGCCUACCUUAAAGCUUUACAAGGCCUAGCCACGUUAGUGUAAAAGGCCACCCAACCACUCGCGAAAAUCAUGGGGCAUUCCAAAUCAGACAGAAAUGACUUAUCCUAGCUCUGAGGUAACCGCUCGUCUUGAUGCUGGCAGUAAAGAAGGCAAAGAGUUGACUUCGACAAUUCGAUAAUGGUAAGGACCUUCAAAGCCUAUCCAGGAUUAAGCUACUGAUUGGUUAAAUAGUGAACAUUCGCUUGGGAAUACAAAAGAGAAUGCAGUCGAGACAACCAAAAGUAGAGGAACGACCGACACAGCUGGCAUGCCCCGCUCGUAACCGGCAUCUCCACAUGAACCGGACCAAGCAAGCCGGACGACGCUAUACUGGAAUAGUCAAGAAAAGUAGUCUAGCAAGAGAAUAGUCAAGAAAAGUAGUCGUAGCAAGCCGCAUUCCACACUGGAAAUACAGAAUCUAUGGAAUAAGGGUAACUAGUGGAUUGAUUGGCAGGUUUCGAAAGCCUUUCUCUCUUCUCUCGCUCUUUCUAUGAAAAGGCUUACGCCGCCUUGCCUUCUAUUCUCUUCUCCACCCUUAUUAGAGUACUUAGCCUUCGAUUCUACACCCUUAUUAUAGAAUUGGGUAUUCCUAUCAAAUUAGAGAAUUGGGUAUUAAUAGAUUCCAACAUAGAGAAGUUUUCGUUUCUUACAACCCUAUAUCAUGUGUUUUCGUUUCUUACAACCCUAUAUCAUUUGUUAAUAUAUAUAUAGGGCGACCCCUGACGGGAGAGGUCUUUUAGGAUAUUAUGGAGAGAGCGGAGGCUCUCCGGGUUUUCUUCUCGCUAAGGAGCUCUUUUCUUCCCCAUUCCGGCAUGAGCAAAGAAACUAUGGUUGACCAGCUCUUUUCUUCCCCAUUCCGGCAUGAGCAAAGAAACUAUGGUUGACCAGGUAAGUAGAUUUGACCCCUUCUCUUGACUAUAUUAAUUGAAUCACAGUAUCGUUGAAUGUGAUAUGACAGAUAUUAGAUGAAUUUGAUUAGCUUUACCUGGAGCAAUAAAGAAUGCUUGAAAAUAGGAUGCAAGCUUGAUCGGGUAAUCCCGAGUGAUGCAGCGAUUUCCUGACGCAUCAGUGACGUAGGCCUUUGAAAACCAUUAUACGGCCAUUCUCUCCAUGCUAUCUUACAAUAGGUUUGUUUCUGCCAUUUCACUUAUUACACGUGUAGAUGAAAUACCUCACAUUCGAAGCUAUUGUCCAGAAUGCUUGGAAUACUACAGUCAAAGGCAUUAACAUCCUUGUUGUCGCUAGAAAAAGAGCUACAAGCCGUGAAAGAAAGAAGCACUACUGCUUUUGGAACAGAGAGACUGACAGUAAUGUGAUAUCCAAAGAGAUGUUAACUCUAUACGCUUUGAAGUUGGAAAACUAUCCACAGCAAUAAGAUUUGCCUUCUAAUCCUUUGAAAUGGGGUGCUUGCUGACAGGGAGAAAUAGCUUAGCGAAAGGAGCAAACUACCUACUGCAUCAAAGAAAAAAGAAGAAAGUGCAAAACUACAGAUCUUUGAAAAACAGCUUAGCGAUUUCUUGACGUUUUGAUGCUUGCUGGUUUAUGCAUCGUAAGCUUAGCCCUAGCCCUAUUGUUCAGAUGCUAGGAAGACUGGAAUGAAAAGUGACCCCGCUUAUUAAAGAAAGGGAAAAAGGCGAUACCAUAGGAACCGUGCUUGGCCAGGCCGUCCCACUGACGAUAGGCAUUCGGAUUCCAUAUUUCGGGCUCUUUCUUUAUUAAAGCUAGGAUCGAAGUUGCUUGGAGAGUCGAGUUAAGGGGUAAGGAAGGAUAGCAUACAAGUGAAGUGGGGGAACAAGCUUAGAACAAGCAAAUCCGCUCUCUUAUGUCUUAAUUCGUUAUUAAAGUGUUAGGUUAGUGUUUCGUUUCGGGGGUGCGGGGUGCGACUACGAUAGAUAUUCGUUUUUGAAGCUGGGGAAGAUCCCAAUAAAGAUCUGUAACUUGACUUGAAACAAAUCAUUCUUAAACAGAAACAGACGCCGAGUAAACUGGAACCGAACCGCUUGCUGCUGCUUAUUUUCGUACUCCACUUUAUGAACCUCUCUGUCAAUGACCUAUUUCGUCGGCAACACAAGAACUCCCGCUUUACCACUUUGACUUUGAGCGUGGGACCUCAAUAGUCGCUUGCUAAGUUGAAGCCAUGUUCCACUUUCUAAUGUAGGUUCUAUCACUGACUGCCCGGUCCACUCCUACACUUAAAGCCUCGGCGACAGAUACUAGUCCCAUUUUCGAGAGUUCACCUUUUGCUCUAACACUUAUACUUAUGGAAUUCAAGCAGUUUCAGCGAGCUUGUUAAUAUGUUGUUUAGGCAGCGCUACUUAUAGAGACUAGGGAUUGGAUUGGGGUCCGUUUUCCUCACAAGAUUGGAUAGAAAUGAUGCUAAGUAAGCUGCGCAGAAAAGCAACCCGUUUAAGUCUUGUUAGCUAUAGUUGGUUUCCUAUAGAGUGGGUUCGGUCUAAGAAACAGGGCAAUAAGCCGGAUAGGCAGUCAAGUCUGAUUUAGAUGUAGGAGCCCCAAGCCUUAAAUACAGUAGAAGCAUACUUAAAUAGAAGCAUACUUAAAUACAGUAGAAGCAUACUGAGGUAGGAGCAGUGCCGGGCUAAGAAGCUGUAAAGCAAGCCUCAAAGCCGUGGGGAACUCAUAUUUAUAGACAGGAGGGAACGGCUUAGAUACAAGGAUAUCUGAGUGGUGCGAAAGGAAUGGAAAGCAAUGCUAAGGUACGGAAUAGAAUGGAAAGCAAUGCUAAGGUAAGGGGAAGUUCAGUGAAGUUCAGAGCAGGAGGUCCGUCCAUGUUCUAUGUUCUACGGCGUCAAUGCGUUAUCAGGACAGUUGGAUAGUUUAGAUAGUUGAUUCCACAAAAGCAGAGUUUCCCCGCGAUGCAAAAAGAAAAAGGCAUACUAAGGGUCUAUGUUAAAGGAGUUAGUUCCAUUAUGGGCGUCUACAAUAGAGGUUUCGAUUGGAAGUGAAGAGCAGCAUGCGCCCCGUCCUGAGUAGCGGGUGAUAAAGCAGUUUCAAGAUAAUAAGCAUAAUCUUAAGUGAAGUUUAUCGGAAAGGACUCGAAAAAGGAAUCACCUAAAUGUCCUGCUAGUGGGUUUGAUUCUAGUAUCGGUGUGCUACUUUCUAUUUCUAUUUCGGUUGCACAAGUACCACACAAUCAUCAUCUCUACCUGACGCCACUAAUGCAUUUGUUUCUUGGGUCGAGUCUGAAGUCAAAGAUUCAUUUAAAACUCUUGGCGCCCUGUCAACUUAAACAAGGGAAGGGGGAUUAAAGAAAAGAAGCUGCUCUAGGCCCAACAGAAGCAGGAUACAGAUAUUAGAAGCAGAAAUCGAUUCAAAGUACGGGAAAGGCAGCGGAAUGCCCAGAUUCAGCAGUUCGCUUAAGGGCAGCUUAAGGUCAAGUAAGGAAAGAUAGUUUACAGUGACUGUUUGCAAGAUAGAAAUUCCUAUCUGAUAUGCGCAACGGAGAGAUAUGAUGUAGUUUGACUUUAUAAGCUACUAGAAACUAUAAGAGGAGCUGAACAGAGGUUUGUAGCCGAUAAAGAUUCCGUGAAAGCCUACCUUAGAGAAUUUCCUUCUUCAGCCAACACCAACCCUUACUUCUUCCGCUUCAGCGCUAAGAUCUUUUCCAGCAAUCGAAUCUUAUGCUUGCUUCAUUGUUAGAAAGCACAGUAGAUUCCAUUAGAUAGCCUCACACAGGUCCCAACAAGAACAAACAAGUGCCUAAGGCGUCAGUUCAAUUAACAGUUUUCCUUUAGCAUCGAGAGAUAGAAAGGACACACAUGGUGUGCGACCCAUCCAAGCAAUAUCCCCCGAAUAGGAAGAAUUCGUCGUUCGCUGUGGAUGCUCAAGGAUCUAAGUUGAGUUGAUGAUUGAAGAAGGAUGAAAAGGCUCUUAUUUCUCUCUCUCCUUUCGCGAGCUACAAUCAGGCACUCCACCCCCCCUUAGGUCAGCCAAGCCCAGCUAGAAGGAUUUGAAGCUUUGAGCACGCGCCACACCAACGUAUAGGGACAGUGCUUCCCGAAACCGACUCUUCAAUACUGAAAAAGGUAUCUCCACCCCGUUCUCUGGUAGCUGGCAGGUAUCUCCACCCCGUUCUCUGGUAGCUGGCAGUUUCUCUUUUAUAGGGUAUAGUCAAUGGCGUUAACACAUUAUUUUAUGGGGGCAUAGUUCAUUAACACCUUCUUAGUAUAGGGUAUAGUCAAUGGCGUUAACACAUUCUUUGAAAACCUACAAAGGUCAAGUGAGGCAUAAAAGGCGCACUCAGAAAAACUCUAAGUAAACCACCCUUUUUGUUCGCCGAAAACAAUACUUUUGUGGAGUAAAGGCCUGAGGUUAGGGGAAAUGCAUUUAGGAUUAUUCAUUUGACUUGAUUUUGAUGGAAUCCUAUUUCUUCCUGCAAAAGCGACUUACCCCGGAACUAAAAAGCAGCGGAGUCGUUCAAAGCCACCUUGAAAGUGAAAGAAAGAGUGAAUCUCGCUUUCAAUGACUCGAAGGCAGCCCCAGUGAAAACCACUACGGUUAGGCAUACGCCCCAGUGUUCGCGGUCUUGCUCUGAGGUAAGAAAUGCUACAACUCCAAAUUCUAUGCACUAUUCUCUGACUUCGAACAAACCCCUUAUUUGCUAAAUCAAUAAAUCAAUGGGGCUAAAUAUGAUCUCAGGCCAGGAGAGCUCCACGGUUAUCUUGGGCGAGAGAAGAUGGCUCACACCUUUGCUGAAGACCUAGUGGGCCCUUCCCCUUCUUUUAGGAGAGUUGAAAAGCAAGCAAAGCAAAGUACCUGCGAUUAAGGAGUAUUUUAGUUGAAACCUCCAUAUCCUUGGUUGUAACUAGAGACUUUUGAAAGAGAAAGUUUGAAAAACAGGAAGAAGGAGUUAAAGUCCCUAUUCGACCCCGACCCGAGAACGUAGUCAGUGCCAAGUGUAUGGUUCUGUCUACCCGACUCAAGCUUAGUGCCCUCUGUGCAAAAGCACUUUCCCAUUAAAUAAACUGUAACUAAUAUGUCUUUAGCCUCUGUCGUGUCGGUAACUUCUUAAUGAACGGGGCUCUAAACUCAAUAACUUGCUAUCGCACGACGGAACAAGCCAUAAGAAUAGAGUAUAUCUACACGACGGAACAAGCCAUAAGAAAGAGAGUAUAUCUAAUAGGGGUGGGCAAUAUUGCUUUAUUCUAUUAUAAGUGUGUUGGUGCACUUAAUUCUAAUUCAAUGGUGAAGUUUAUAAUUUAUAGAAGAUAUUUGCUGCCUUAUAUGAUUUUCUUAAAGAAAGCAGUAAGGAGUGAGUUCAAAAGUCCACUACCCUAGCAUCACAAGCAAGAAAGUAAGGAGCACUACCAUCAAGAGCCGAGUUUCAUUCUGACUUUCCGACUUGCUGGCAGUGGUUUAUAAGUCUGUAACUCUCCGGUUUGAUUCUUAGUAGCUGUUGUCUCGGUCUGUAACUCCCUAGCUUCAGCUUCAGUCAGAGCGGACACCGUAUCAGGCUUGUUGUUACUGCUUUCAGGCUUAGCUUCGUUAGCUCCGUUCUGUUACUCACUACUGGCUGCCUAGCUCACCUCUCGCAACAAAGACAGAUGAAGCAGUACUACUCGUAUAUACCUCCGGCAACUAUGCCUCUGAUCUUGCUCCACUGAUCUAACAGGCUUACCAUUCCCACAUAUAUUCUAUCGGCACCCAAAUAUAUUAUAUAAUAUUCGAAUUCUAUUAUAUCAUCUCUGUAUUGUUCCAGCCCUGUGUGAACCUGUCUUUGAAUCCUGAGUGAACCUGUGGGAGUAGCCUCUGCCUCUGCUGCCUCUGCUCCUGAUACAGGAAAUGAUUUGAAUUGAGUCUACCGAACACCAGCUUUUCUACGACCAUUCUUUAGUUCGAUACACGACCAUUCUUUAGUUAGCUCGAUACACGACCAUUCUUUAGUUCGCCUGUCCGGGGUAGAGCAACUGUCUUAUGCUUUAAGAUCUUAGUCCUGUGUUCGGCACUCCAUUAUGAACUUACAUUUGAAGCCCUUAUAUUAAGUCGGAGUUCAAGGCUUACUUUAGUUGUGAAAGAUUCAAUUCCAUUAAUAAUUAUGGCAAGAGGGAGGCUCGGACUAUUUGAAAUUACAUCUAUCUGAAAUCUAUCUUAUAAUAAUCAUUGAACUACUGAGACUUUAGACCCGCUCCCUUAUUCUUAUAGUAGAAAUCCGGGUUCUUUGUCUCGCCUAACAAACCUAGUGCUCUUGAUCAACCAUCUAGUAUUCUUGUUGGAUGAAGAUCCUUCUUCCCUUGCCAUAGGUGUAAGGUUUGACAAUUCUGUCUUUGAUAAGUGUUUCAAUUCACAAACUCGAACAGCUUCUAAGUACAACUUUCCUAGACUUCACUCGCAUCCAAAAGAGACUCUAGCCAGGCCCAGUACCAGCUGUAGAGUUUAAUCCCCACUUCAGUACUAUAAGGAAGGUCAAGUUACUCACUUCAAUAUUGUGCCAGAGGGAUUCCAUUCAGAAUUCUUGCCAGAGGUAGCUACCAAGACUUGUACCUUGACCACUACUUGUUGGAGCUGGAACAACACUUUCAACAAAUCAUUCAAAAACUCUCCCUGACCCUUAAACGGAACCUUCACUGUCAACAACCAAGCAACCUGGGAAAUCCUUAAACGCAAAGAGCGGUCACUAAACUUAUUGUCCAACAAACAACCACUAGUACAGGAGUCCGGAGCAGAGUAUGGGUUCAGAAGAGCUUAACUAUGUCCUAUUGACUGGCAAGAAGAGAAGAGAGCCUCAUUCAGGUAUCAAAUAAAUAGGGAAAUCCUGAAAUAUGAAAUGGAAGAAUUGAGCACCUAUUGGCUGGGUUGGUGAAGAGAGCACUAAACAAGCGUCUGGCGAGUUGACUCGGAUUAAGACUACGUGGAGAGAGAGGAGAGGAGAAGAUGGUGCUGCAAAAGAAUUGGAAUCUAGAGCGCCUUACAGUUUGUUAUCUAAUGUACUUAGUGGAAUCCAUCUCCUUACUCUUUCUCAUAUAAUUGACUUUGUAUAUAAUGUAUUUAGGUAUUUAGUAACAGAAUUGCUUACUCACUUACACUUAUUGAAUCUAGCUAUCCAAUCCACAUAUAGAUUUAGGGUAAAUGACUCUGAGAUAGGGUAAAUGACUCUCUAAGACAACCUCUGAUCGCAUCACCCUUCCUUGAACUUUGCUUUACCUUUGCCUGAUUUACUGCUUUCCAGAGAGAGUAGUGGUCAAAGUCGCUUUAUGUGGUAUGGUGCCGAACAAGCAGACAAGUUAACCGCUUGUUAGUUAGUUCUUUCUAACCCCGCCCCGAGAAAAAGGCUUUCAGCACCUUGCUUCUUCCUACGCGAGUUGCAUUGCUUCCUAACCUAAACUCCUUUUCAUUCUUGCCUCAAGCUUUCAAGUAUUAUUGAUUGCUCUUGCUUUCAUAAUCUUAUUAGUUGACACAUCACAUUCUGGAAAUUCUUAACAACCACUCCCUUACUCUAUGCUUUCCCUAAUGAACACGAACUCCCUAUUUCAUAUUGAUUUAUAGAAUGCUUAUUGCUUCCCUUAAUAACAUACAACUAUAUUGAUUUGAUUCGUAGAGUAUAUAUUUACUUGAUUCUACGAGUCUCUUUGAUUGCUUGGUGACAUUGCUUGUUCCCUCGUGCUCGUGCUCCUGCCUUUCUGAAUUAGGUACUUGCACCCUCCACUUCCCUUGAAGACCAGACCCGAACUAGACCUAUCAGUGAAGAAUGUCAUUGCCUACGAUCUUGCCUCUGAUCGAGUAGACCUAACUCACCCUACUGAUGCUGAUUCUCUAUACGACCUAACUCACCCAGCUUUGCUUCUUUAGAAGAUGAAAUGAAACAAGUAAGUUGAGUAGCCCGGUGGUCCUGUUCUUGUUCCUACUCCGGAUAUAGCUUAUGCCUCUUCUCCAGAUCUCUGGUAAGCCCACUCCUCUAAGUAUAUAGUAAUAGUCAGAGUAAUGAGCAGAUCUGUACUCUUUCAGCUCACUUCAAAUUCAUGAGUUGACUCGGCAUCAGGAAAAGGUUGACUCUAAGCUAACAGAAAGGGUGCUCAGUUACAUUCCUACAGGAUAUGGGAUUGGUAUAGAUUCCAUUCACGGUUUACUCGGCGGCGCGGAAGGGCUGCUAAGUCAUAUAGCUAACUAGUUAACUUCUUUUAAGAUAGGUUUCAAGCGAGGGAUAGAAGAUUUGAUACAAGCAGAGGCAGACCCAACCAAGUUCCCCAGGAAUUAGACUCAGUAGCGCAAGAACAAAUCCUGCAAUAAAGAGUAAAUGAGCAGCCCGGACCCAAGACGGAAAUUGUUUACAUAGAGGGAAGAGCUGAACCUAGGAGUCAAAGGUUAGAUAAAUAACUAAAGUAUGGAGUUUCGGAAUCAAAGAUAGGAUAGUCAGAAUGAUAGUAAGGAAAGACAGCUUUGUAGUUAAAUAAACACUUAAGGGCAAGAGAGCUGGGUUUAGAUAAAGGAAUGUUGGACUAAGUGAAAGGAACCACAAGAUGAGAGAGCGUAGAGGGACAAGUACUAAUACCAGAAUGAAAGAUAGGAUAGGGAAUAGAUAAGUUAUUAUAAGAGAAUAGAUAAGUGAGUUACAAAACCAACUCCAAUAUAUGGUUAAGAAAUUGUACUCUAUUAUUAAAGUCAAUACAAGAAUAUAGAAUACAGAUAUGAUCUAGGGCAUACUAAGCAUAGGUACGCUUCAGAGCAUCUACUAAGGUACGAUUCGGAGCAUCUACUAAUAGGAAAAGAGUCAACCAAGCCUUGCUUUUACAACUCAACAUGACAUUCUUUAACGACUCUACUGCUUAUAGGACAACAACUAGUGCUGACAGGGCUUUAACCAAUACUGAUAAAAAGCAACCCCGGAACCCAGCCUGCCUUACUGCACAAGGGACCUAAAUAGAAGUCUGUCUAUCCCGACCUCAAUUCCAACUCUCUUAACUUGAAGUAAGUAUGCCACUCCUUUAGCUAAGCCCUACUUUAUAGCUUCCGAGCUUGACUUCUCGACCACCAAAUACAGUAUUUGAAACCAAAAAAACUCCCCAAUAAAGUAAGUCCACCCGUCCUGGAUCUUAUUCUUUAGUAGUAGUCCGAAACCCCUUGCUUAAGGAAUCCAUCUACUAGUGGAAAGGUUGAUAUCGCUACUAAACGUAAUGAAACACUCUCUAAUCAGAGAAUCCAUCUAUUACGAGAAAGGAUCGAAUCAAACCAAUAGUAGGAUGCCAAGAGACAUAAUCCGAAUUUCCCUACACAUAAUGGGAAUGCAACAAGGGUAUACGAGAAUAGAACCCCGGCAACCAAGGCAGCAACAAGGAGCAAAGAGUUAGGUUACGAUAUAGCGUAUACACAACAAUAGAAUAAGAGUAUAGGUCGCGGCAGCACCAGAUUUGCACUACUUCUUAUGAUAAUCGGAUAGGUACAUAAGAGAAUAGAACACUAACCUGAUAGAUCAAACAGCAACAGGUAAUCAAAAGAAUUAGUAUUUGGAAUAAGAAUAAGAGUGAGAAUAUGAUCUAGUGCACUAAAAGACUUCACCUGGACUUACUGAAUUGAACUCGACAAGCUACUACUGACUCGAAAGCUUCCCCUCCUAACUAACAAACUAUACCAACCCUUUCUUUACCGUCUUUUAUUCUUUGACUAAUAAGAUGGGCCUGCCGCUACGGAACUCCACUCUUAUGUUAAACACCUUCCCUUGCUCCCAAACAGUAAUUGCUACUAAAAAGGCUUGAGCUACUUAUAGACCAGCACUCUUACCGGUCAUACUUUCAUGCUUACUUGCUAGCUUUAGUAUUGUACUAUACCUUCUUAAACCCUUGAACUACCUAUAGGAAUUCUGUAUUAUGAGUUUAGGUCCGCUGCUACUGCCAGCAGCUUUGCAGCCUUUGUCUUGUUGUAUCUUAGCCGGCCCUUCUCUUCUAUAGGCCUGGCACUAAUGCCUUUAACCUAGUAUAGUAGUAAUAGUAAUAAUCCAGGACAGAAGUAGGAACUAAACCCAGCAGCCCUCGUGUUCGCUUCAAACUUAUUAUCCUGGCUUUCCGUCCAUAUACCCUAUAUAGAAGUAUGCUACCACUGAAAUGAAGUCAACUACAACUGAUCUCAUAUUGCCAUUAAGUCAACCACUAAUAGGACAGGAUCAAACUCAAUACCAGGAUCCCGGACAUAACUCCAAGGCCUUGAGGCAGAAAGAAAGACUUGUGGAUCUACUUGGCACUUACUACUAGGCUUACUACCUUGACUUUGAGUCUUUACUCCGGGUACGAUCUAGCGCACAUAGGUAUGACACUUUUAGUUGUAAUAGAGAAUAUAAGUGGUGGGGUGCCGUCUUUUCCCUAAUGCCGACAAUAACCUCCGCAUUAACAGACUUGGAGUAGUUGUUAUCAGAUUCGAGCUAGUGAUAAACAGAAGGUACAAUGGAACGCAUCUAACUAUUAUUAGAAUUGGACUAGUGCUGACAAGACUUACUACUUUGUUAAAUGACUCGGAAUUGAACCAAUAAGAAGAGAACCGCCGCUAACAAGGAUGCCCUUACCUGCUUGGAAGCCUUCAGCGUAGCGAUCAAAUUAUUCAACUGAGAACUACCAGAAUCCACUAAUACCCAACUACUCUAGAGCAACCCUGCACAUAUUAGAAAAAAAGCAACUACUUUAUAGGACUUGGUCCACUAGCUCGGAACCCAACUGCUACUUCUUGGACUGAAACCACUUACUUAUGAGAAGACAACCAACGUAGUCCUUCAACUAAUGCCUUAGAGCCUUGCUUUCUUGUUUAUCAAACUGACCUCUGAGCUGCUGUUCUCCAAGCAGGACUCGUGACUUAGCGUAACUCUUAUAGGUCCCUUGCCUUAAGGUUUCAAUCACUCCCUAAAGUGGUUAGCCCGACACUCAUUUAGCUCAGUAUGACACUACUGCCCUAUUCUCUGUAGUUAGAUUGAGUCCGCUACUCGUAAGCUUCUCAUCCACCGAGCAACUGACAAGUAAAAGUAAGGAUAUCGGGCUGAGCAUACUAGUACAUAAGAUAAGAAUCAAGAAGAAAGCGUCAACAAAAACUCUUUCACUCGGGCUACCUUUUGCAAGUUGCCACCCGUUUGUUCAAUACUCGGUAAGUCGCUAAAUCUGUCGAGAAGAACCAUCCCCACCGGAUCGGACAUGGUUUGUUUUCUAGUCUUAAGAGCUUUGGAGGGAAAGACGGCUGCUCUGUUAACAACUCGCUGGUCCGCUGGUCCUGCUGCUGUCUGAACUGCCACCUCCGCUUGGGUCAGUAACACAAGGCUCCAAAAUGGAACCACAAAAGAUUCGAUUGAAUGUAAGUUCUCAGUUACUAGAAAACCGUAUUAUUCUGAUUCUUAUAAUGGGGCUCGGGUGGUUUAGUUUCAUUAAAGAAAGUCAUUCGUACCAUACUCUUUCAAUCAAAUACCGCUGGUAGGAUCUUGGUAAGUAUUAAUAUUCUAAUUGUAGAAGAAGAAUGCACAUCCGUCCUUUUCGACUCCCUUAUAUGUAUUCAUUCUUUUUUAUGAAAUUGCGUAAACAGAUAGAUAGAAAGGAUUCGUCUUGCUUCUGAACAGGAUAGAAAAAUGGAUCUAAAUAGGCAAAAGAUCUUAAGGGAAAGUAUUUCGAAAGAGAGAAAUGGAAUAGAAGUGCUGUGCUCUUUUCCUUAAUACUAGCAGUAUUCUCCCAUUAAUAGUAGCCCAUGCUUGGAAGUUGACGUACAGUACAGCAUGAAACGAAAACAAACGGACUAUUUCUCAAUAUGGAGAAGUCUGUUUAUUGUUAUUGGGAUUGCUCUUUCAGCUCUAUGUUCAAUAGGUGCGACUUCCCGUGAUUCCUUGCCACUCCUUGUUGGUUUCUAUCCCAUUUCUCAAUAGGGGCCCGAAAAGUGUAGUAAUAGGGAUCCCAGCAACACAGAAUCAUCUUAUACCUAAAAACUCGACUAAGACUUUCUAAAUAAGGUGCAUGAGGCACUUCAAUAGACGUUGCUGAUCUCGGCUGCAGCUUUCCCUACAAAGCAACCUCCAUUAUUCCCCCGACCUAUGGUCGCCAAUCUACCCCGGUAUCUAAAUGCACAUUUACUUCCUAAGACCUUUGACUUUGUCGUUAUUUAGUUAUGAAUUCAUGAGUUUACGACUUCACCAUCCGUAGUAUAGUAGGAAGGUUUCAUUUGGAAUGUUUCAAUCUAUUUUCUUUAACAAUAAACAAAUCCUUAUAGAAGAAUUGACCGGCCUAAGGGUUGUUGCAGGAUGAGCCUUUGCCUCCGGAGAGAAUGAAAUACCAGUGGAAAAGUUGGAAAAAUCACCCCUCCUUGCUUUUUGUAUUCUUAUCAUAAUCCUUAACCACAAUCAAAGCCAACACUCUUAUCUCGAUGGUUUAUCAAACCACUUUCUUUAGCUUCAAUGACUUACCACUGUCCCCGCAAGCAAAUAGCAUACCACGUGUAAAUACUUUAAUGGAAGCGCAUAUAGGCAAUAAUUGUAUAAUCAGGUGUAUCCAACCUACUGGAGGACCAAGGCGAAACAACAUAUCUAAAUCUCUCGGAUCUUAAGCUAAUAGGCUGUUGUUGGACUCGGUUAACCUUUACUUAAUAUAACUAACACAAGGAAUGGCUCGACUUUGACUCUGACUAUGAAGAUAGAUAAAACAUCCGCCCUUGUACCAUAGGCUACCAUAUAAUACUUCUUUUUUCAGAGGGAUUUCUCUUCUCUUUCAUUUCUGUUUUGAGCGGGUGGUCGGUCUAAUAAAGCAUAUAGAUUAGAAUCACAGCGUUGGCGGGUCUUACGAAGUGUUUUUGAUUUCCCGUAAAAAGAAGCUUAUUCAAACUGUUUGGUAAGAUCCUAAAGACAGGGAUGAUACAGUAGCUUUUUACUGUUUCUAGUUCAAGUGCUAUAAGCCAGCCCAGGAGGCAUAACGAUUACUCAAGUAAGCGAAAGAAAUGAUUCCUUAUCGUUGUUGAGAGAAAUUAGCAAUUUCCACAGAAAGCUUUUCUUGUUAUAGAGAUGUUCUUCUCUACUAAAACCCUUUUUGCCUUAUUUUUUCUUAUGGGGAGGAUGUGUUUAGGACGUAGUUUAGGACGUCGGCACCAAAGACACCCUUUGCUUUGUGCGGUGGUCUCAUUCAAGAGUAUAUGGUAGGGUUCACUUCCCAUACCAAGAGUUCGGUGAGAGACAGCAGCCAACUCCUUCUGCUCAGUAAGUGUAUUUGCCUCAUUUGCUAUGGUUCAUGAAGUCCUCUAUGAAAGCGUUAUUAAUAAGAAUCCAUCUGCUCUACACAAAUUCCCAUCGUCAGCUGCUUUUUCUUUCUCUUUAUCAUAGGCUAAACUGACUUAGAGCAGCAAAGAGAAGUUCUAAAUCAGACAAAGGGCAUUAUCUCUUUCUAAACCCAAGGAAAGCCUAAAACGACUGUAACGUCCUUCUUCAUGUGUGCACGUGGAUAUCCCCACUCUUGCUUUCUCUUACUACUGUGCCGUGCCAUUUGAUCUCGGGAUGGCCUAAAUCUAUUGCUUUUUCCUGUUUGUAAUACCUCCUGUUCCUCUCAGAUUAGUUCAAAUGGCCUCUGCAUCAAUAGGGAAGUGCUCACCAUGCUAAGCCCGUUUACGCUGCAAACAAAUUGAACUGAUUACUAGCCGCAUCCUAUCUUCAUGCUUUUUACACUGAUUAUCAAACACGAAAAGGAGAUUAUUGUGGGGAUUCUCGAACAGUAAGAGCUAAGACUGAUGCAUCUAUACUAUUGAGAGAAAGAGAAGAUUGGACUUGCUUAACCUAAUUCUGAUUCCUAUGGUUUAGUUACCCGUUACUGGCUCCCAUUCUUUGAUAACGAAAGCUAGGGUAGCGAACCAGGUAAACAUACUUCUUAUUGAAAUUAGGGACUUCAAUUCCACUAUGAGCCUGCCGCUAUCAACUCUAAAACAAACCACGCUAGCAGCCUUACUUUGCUGAUGAAGUAUGUCCUUCCUUAUUUGGAUUCUGGAUUUCAUCACUAGUGAGUUUGCCUUUACUUGCUCUUAUUCUCCCGCUCCCGUCUCUGACUCUUAUAGUUGUCCCACCAAGCUAUUAUGAAACCUCAAACUACCCUACGAGUAAACCUAAAACGGCUUCUAGCCCGUCCCUCUACUCUAGUAAGUAGACUAUUCUGGUACACAAACAAACCUUAUCAAAAGGUAACGCUUAUCAAAUCUAAAAGUAGUCUGCAAGAAUAGUAUGAUAGAAUGCCCCGAUCGGGGCGUAAUCGGGGACUUUGACGGAAGCAUCGCCUGAUUCAAAAGGGCUGUUUUUUCCACCUAAGUCCUUUUACCCUGGGCUCUAUGGUAUGGCAUUAACCCUAGGCUCUAUGGUAUGGCAUUAGUAUAAUAGUAUAGUCUCAAUUCUCUCUGGAUUGCGCUGCCGUAGUUUAGUUGGUACGACCUACUUGACUUCUGGGUUACAUGAACAUCACGAUGCCUAAGGACACGCAAAAGAAUUGUCUCGAGUGUUUAGAUCAUAGAAUCAUUGUCUCGGGUAUUUAGAUCAUAGUCCGACGUAUCGAGUAUUUAGAUCAUAGUCCGACCUCGAUAUAUCCGUCUUGGACCUGUAAGAAAGCACUCGGAGCGGAAAGGCAACGGCCUACUCCCGUUACGCACAAAAGACACUUUUCUAUAGGAAUGGUUGUGAAUCGCCAAGCCAAAGCCUUUGAUUCAAAUCCCAGGUUAUGCAAAAAUGAAUUCAAUAUUCAGGAUUUGCUUAGCAACUUCCAGUAGGUCAGCUACGCCUGGCACAGUGAGACUAAUUCCUUCAGUCGAAAAGCCUGAGUCCCUCGAGAAAGACCCCUAGCGCUCAAGACAAGAAAAGAAAGUAAGCGCAUCUCCCUCGGCUAGGAAAGUGGAUACUCUUUCUAUUAAUUAGUCCUACCUCGAUAAAGGAAAUCGGGACAAGAAUAAUAGGGCCUUUUACCUUACAUUGCUAGGCUGCAACUGAGGCUCUUUCGUAUGAGUCUUUGUCCUGAUUCAAUUCGAAUACUCACUUCUAUUUUCACUUAUAUUUGACUUCACUUAUAUUUCACAAUGUUCCACGCAUAACAAAAAGAAGGCCUCGGCAAAGAAAAGAAAGUGGCUCCUGUAACUAAAUAAAGUAGGGGAGGGGACUCGGCAAAAGAAAGACGCAGCACGGUGAAAAGUUGGCUCGGAAUCGGCUCGCUCCUCUUUCCGUUUCGGCAUAAGCUGUUUAGGUUCGUAUGAGGAAGUCCGUUCAGUUACGCAAGGCAGGUAAGUUAGAUGAGGAAGUCCGUUCAGUUACGCAAGGCAGGUAAGUUAGAGGUCUCGUCUGAAUCAGUUACGGAUUCAGGUAGGAAAGCCAGUCUGGGCAGAGUUGGAAGAUUCUCCCGCUACAAGAUAGUCCACGAACCAAGAGUUCUACCCGCACGGAGUCUUUUUCCCUCGUCUUUGUUGGCUAAUUAACCAAGGAUGAGGAAUGAGUCUGUGCCUUACUCUGUGCCUUACACUCCCGGUUCAUUAAGAGUAGGCAACUUUGCAUUGGCGGAUUCUUCUGCAACAUUUGGGCUAUCCUCUCCAGCUUCUGUGCCAUAACUACUAGCUUAGAAAGUCGCUAGCUCGCUCUAUCUGCUGAUGAUGAUUCGUCUUCUUCCGCUGUGUCCGCAUUAGCAGCAGAUUAUUUCUCAACAGAGUGAAGAUGAUUCAACAUAAACCUAGCCUGCCUUAGAAGGAUAUCCCCUUCUCUUUCUAUUGAUUUCAUCUCUAAAGGAGGGGCCGCCUUAGAGAAGGAAGCUUUGAUGCUGGUCCUUUUGCGGCUGAGCCUCAUUCCACUCCCCAGAAAAGAAAUCUGCUUAGCCUUAAGAAGAUGGGCCUUGCCCUAAGUAAGAGUCACCCCUCGUAACUUAUCGGAUCAGCUGCUUGAGUCCCUCGCCCUUAUAGUAGUGGUAUAGCUGGAAGGUCCACCUGAAGAAAACUAGCGCUAGUGGGGCAGUCUGAAUAGGGGUUUAUGCUGAAUCCGCUUUCCCAGCAUCGGAAGCGAAAAUCAUACUUGAUUCUUUCCGAAAUCAGGAGCUUACAAAGCUGCUCACUUGGCCCUUGUAUUGUAUGAGCCGAUUCUGCCCCGGAACUAUUCUGAGAUGCCGAUUCUGUAGUAGGAGAUGAAGGCUCAGGCGCGGACUUUGCCUUUGCAUCUGCCCCAGAGGCUACAACUUAAGCAACUGACUUUGCUGCCGAAGCUGCAGAGCCCAUUAUAGUUAUAGGAAUAUUAUAUGCAUCUGGCACUUAGCCUCCCUCAUCACAAAUGGUUUACUCUCCUACUUAUACCGAAUGGGACGAAAGCCUUCCUCUCUAAAGUGAGGCAAAGCAAAGCUCAACCGAGGGCAAUGUUCCUGCAACUAAGAAACUACUAAUAAGAGUAGCAAGGCAAGUAACAGUCGAUCGAGGCCACCCUUGCAUCUCAGCAUACUUUGUGCGCCACCAGAGCUGGGCAUCACCUGUGAGGUACAUGAUCGCCAUUGUGACCUUUGCCUCUUCCGAGUCGGGUCUCACUACACGAAAGUACUGCUAAAUAUCGAAAAGGAGUUUCCUCUGAUAUGUUACGGUGUUUUUUCGGCCGGUUUUCGCCAGUAUCGAAUAAGCAAAAGAAGGAAACCAGUAAACAAGCAAGACAGAUAAGCAGGCAAUGUCAUUGAUAGGAAGCAAGCAACUGAUUGAUUGUGCAUUAGAGACGGAGGUGGUAUUCUUCUAGAGAAGGAAAAGGGAAGCCAAGCCCUGAAAUUAAGGCAGAUUCCCGAGCUGCCUGACGAGCAGCGGAUACGGGCAAAAGACUAGCAGCAGUAACUUGAACACUGGGAUUCUCACUGAAGUCAGAUUGUAAUUGUUUUUAUACCCUUGACUUAUCAAGCCCGGACUUCUCUCAAUUUCCUACAAAACACCUGAUAUGGCGACAACAGCGGUUACGUGAACAGCAGAUCCCUCAGACACAAAAGACGAUUUGUAGCAUUCCACUAGCUAUUCUUUCACUAGUGCAUUCUGCUAGCUCUCCUUCUUUUAGCUAUUCUUUCACUAGUGCAUUCUGCUAGCUCUCCUUCUUUCUUUCAUAAAUCUCAUGCCUAUCUUUCAAGACAGAGACUAUUCCCAUUUAUCGGCCUAAGGACUGCUAAUGAGAGCCUUCCUCGCCAUGUUCAAAAGAUCUCUCUUUAUGCUCGAAAUCGUCUGGUAUGGACUUCUAUUAUAUAACUGAUAAGGAUCCGGAAGGCUAGAGAUAAGACCCUUCGUCGCAAAGAAAAGGCUUUAUCGCGCCGGACAGUUCACUUUAUAAGAAAUAGAGCAGAUUCUAUACCAUUGGUUAAUAAAAGCACUUUCUUCCCUUUCGACUGCUAACUCUUUGAAAUACAGUAAAGCGAUGCCUUACCACAAUAAUCAUAUUCAAGUUCUCCAAAUAGUAAUGAAAGCAUAUAAAAAGAACGUUACGCACCUCUUUUCAGUGAAAAACUCCCUAUACUAUUAGAUUUAUUGAUUUCAAAUCCAUAUUUGUAGCAGCUAACAAAUCCGCUGGGAGCCCUAUAACUAAGAUAAGAUGACGGACUACACACCUGGCACAAAUCCAUAUUCCAUUAAGAAGCAUGCCUGUCCCUAUAGCCACACGAAUAACGGGCGGAUACGAAUAAAAUAGAGAAGGCCGCGAACAACACUAAUAGUGAAAGGAGGCCUGGCCCAAACCUAUUUCUUUUCAGGCCGAAUCUCUUUAUAUAACGGAACCCGUUCACUCAAUCAAAGAAAGCUCGACCCAAGCUGAAGGCUGUUAUGUGAUUCCCGAGACCCUACUUCCUAAUUGAUCCUAUCCGAGAAGGCUAUCUAUCUUAUACCUGAGGGCGCUCUAUGAAACCCCGAAGAGCCACCCAAACCAAGGGCUAUCUAUUAUCCACUUAUUCAUCCGGAGGAUUGUUAGUAGUAGCUGCCUUUUAGGAAUCCAUAACCCAGAGAAAUAGGUGUUGUCGCUUCUCCCCCUGCCCACCGUUCUACCUCCCUAUGAGGCUAACGAUUUCAUAACCAUCUUUGUAGCUCCGUUUCCGGCUCCUACCUAUUUAUUCUAUGGAUAUACCAAGAAAGAUGUACGGUCUAAUUAGGCUACUACGAAAUAUUGACUCAUGGGUGGGCUCUCACUCAACGGAAGGCAGUUACAAAGCUUUCCUUUCCCAUAAGCCCCUUUCUUUCACUUUACUGGAAGGUCGAACCAAAAGCAGAUGCUCACUAAAAGCAAUCCGAGGUGAAUGGAAAGAUAAGAGCACGGGAAUGAACCAUACCAUAGGGCUAGCUUUAGUAAAUCAAAUAAGAAGGACAAAGAGUCAAUAAAAUAAGAAAGACAAAGAAAGGUUAGUAGAAACUGCUUAAUCGAGACGUAAGCCAACCUUAUUCGCGGUAUUAGUUCCUACGCUCCCUACCGGUUAAGCCAGUCACCUCUUCCCUCGAUCUACGAAAAGAAAGGAUUCUCAUACAACAGGGAAGACAGGAAGGAUUGCAAGGCUUACACAACAAGCAAGAAAAAUCAGAUCUGGAAAGCAAGCUGGGAAACAGUAGAAAGCUGGCAGGGCAACUCAAUCAAGAACGGAAGUCACUUCGCUAACUCAAAAAGAACAGCCCCUAGAUCUGAUGCCCCGACUUCGACCACUUCCAAUAGCUUGCGCUACAGCAGAAGGAAAGAGUUGAAGCAAGGGAAAGAAAGAAGACUUUACGACAGUAGCAGCAACCUGAGAAGCACUAGUUUGAGUAUUGAUAGUUGUAGCUGCUUGGCCCGAGUUGAGUUAUUGAGAUUACCUAUUGGAUUAUUGCUUUACCCAGAAAGAUGUUUUCUCUAGAAAGAGAUUAGUGAAAAAUGAACUAGAACGUCACUUAUGAGUUUGGAUAGCUAAAAAAGCAGAAAGAAGUCUGGCUGCUGGGCUUGUUGUUCAAUAGGCUCUUCCGCCUUCUCGGUUGAUGGCACGGGCGCAAACGUCAAUAUAUAAGUUGAUGCUGGCUCGGCAAAGUAAGCUGUUUCGAAGCAAGCGGCUGAGGCAUUUUCUUUCGGAUUAGUUGAUCUUGUCCUAACCGCUAAAAAGUCCUAAGGCAAAGGGUAGUACUUGGGCUAUCGGCUGUAGUAGGGCUAGAGGCUUUAGCUUCCCUAUCUAUUCCAAUUCGUGUAAAGAGUAAACCGAACAAGCUUGAAAGACAAGCAAGGUAGGCUUUGAGCUACAUCUUAAGCUUUGGAAAAGGAAGGAGUAGAGUUGAGCUCCGUUCCCAAGAUCUACUUCUUUAGGGACCUUUGAUAUACGGAUUUUCUAUUAGGGCCUCUUGCCUAUAUCUCCGCUCUUUCUACCUUAUUAUCCCCCAGGAGCCUCCAAAAUCCGCUUCAAUUGCGGGGCAACAAUCCUUUCUAGUUAGCUCAGUGCGUGAAAUCCAAUAUAUAAGAAAGGCUAUUCCUGAUCUUCAGAGUGUAGUUGAUGGUUCUAGGUAAAAUUGAUUCUUUCUUUCCAAAGGAUAUCCGCAGGUCUAUCAAGUCUAAGCUUUCUAAGGAGUGUCAAGUUCUCCCAUUAAGAAAAGUACUAGUCAAAAGAGCGAUAGAUACCGUGUCUAAGAGAGAGAAUGCUUACUAUUAGGAAGCAAAUGGAGCCUGCCAGUAAUGAGAUGACCCAUUGCUGGGGCCUUAUAGAUGAACGAACGGGAAGGGAAAGGGAAAGAUUCCUGUGUACUCUACCCAUGAAAGCACAACAACAACGGGAAUAGCUCCUACUUAAGAGCUCUCGUACUUAGCUUAGUUACGAGUUCGAGCCUUAGAAGCAUGCAAAGGUCUGGGUGGGGAAUAAGUUUCGUAUGAGUCCUUUAAUCGAGUCCCUCUUCUUUCAUAGGUGCCUUCAGGUAGCAUGUUUUGAUUCGCCUAGGGUUCAAAAGAAAGAGAGUAAGUUGUUGGGGCAAAGCAACAAGACGUGUUGUGCUAAAGUAUAGAGUCUAGAGUUAGGGCAGUGUUCUUCAUAACUUCUAUCUACAUGUAUAAUAAACAAGGCAAUAAAGUAUAGAGUAUAGAGGUCGGGUAAUGUUUUUCAAAACUUCUAUCUAUAUGUAUAGAAGCAACAAGCAAACUCAUUAUAGUCCCGGGCGUGGUUGAGUUGAGUUAGCUGUUCUUAUCAGAAGGUUAUUGGAGUAAGGAGUAAGGGUGAUGUUACUUUUGGACAUAAUGGGUGGUGCACUCACAUUUCAACAAGCAAGAGCGUUAGCGAGCCACCACUUAUUCAUUCCUAAGGCUGAAAACUGACUACCGGGAGUUGAAACAACUCUGCCUACUGCUCGGUUAAUGCGCUAAGUCAAUCAGUAGAGAACAAGCAAUGGAAUGCAAAUAAGCUGUGAGGAAGCUACGGGACAAAGAAACAAGCUUUAGGCAGUAAGGUUACUAAUUCACAUAAGGGGUACACCACACUCGAUUCCUUCUCUGCGCAGGGUAAUCCAUCGAAUAUUCCUUUAGCAAGCGCUAGGCCCCGGGAGGAAGUUCUGAAGAUAUUACAUGAAAUUCCGUAUUGAUUGGCAAGGGAACAAGCAAACCCUUUUGUGCUAAAAGAGUGAGCUUAUGCGUCAGGAAUGGAUAGUGUUGUUACUUUAUUUGAGUUGAGCAGUGAGGUGACUUUCGGGGGCACAAGUUACACCGUUGUGCAAGCUGUUAUGCGUUAGCUUCCAGACUAUGAGUUUUCGGGUAGGGCAGACUAUGAGUUUUCGGGUAGGGGAACACCAACAGCAGAAGAAAGAUCUCAAGCAGGAUCCGGAGAAGAUGCUUGAGCAGGAAAGUCUCUCGUUGUUGUCGACUCGAGAGGUAAAGUCAAGGUGAUUGUUCCAACAAGACUUAGUGCUAAUCCCAGUUUACCUGAAAGCCCCUGCCCUGCCCACAAGCAAGAGAUUCGAAAUGGGGCGGGUAGCCUAAAACUUCACUUCUGCAAAUGGAGUUCUUUGUUUCAAGUGUUGUUAGAGUUUCAUCGUACUAAGAAGGAUUUGAAGCAGAAUAAGCAAGGGCGGUACGUACAGUCAAGUCCAAAGGGGAUUCUAGGCUACAAAAGCAUUUCCAGAGCCGAUAGAGUACUUUCAAAGGUGGGAUGGGAUUCUUUUCUAUAAUAGGAGUUUCCCGCUACUCCCAAUAAGGGUUUACAGCCCCGUUCAUUAAUGUAUUGGCAACCUGGGUGACUCGGUGCAAGACAAGUGCAUUUCUGGGUUCCUCUGUGCUAAAAAUAGAUUAUUUGACAGUUUGACUCGGUGCAAGACAAGAGAUAGAUUCCAUUAAGUAAGCAAGCAGUUUCUUCAAGUGAAAUGGAGUUACAUUCAAGAAGAGUGUUUGCGACGAGAUAAGAGGCUUGAUCCAGUUCGUCAGCAGCAAUUCUCUCUUCCGGGCUCGCAACAAGUCAAGUUAUUGGUAGUAACCCUUUGGAAUGAGAAACUACGGAAGCUAGUGCGGUGCUUUUGAAGUCAUAAACAUUAAUAUCAUCUGUUGAUUCUUUAGAUCCAGCUCCAUAUGUGGCUUAUUAUCCGGAUCCUUAUUGAGUCUCUUAUCUAUAUGAAGAUCCUCACUUUCGAACAGGAACUUUCCCACAAGGAACUAGAGCAGAACAAUCCGUUUACGACUUCACCUCUUAUUUGAGAAUGACACCGAAAGUCAGAAUAAUAGCUUGAUUAUUCCCUUAAGCGUAUAGUGGGCUAAGCGUCGCAUUCGGCAUUCUGUCUUCUCUAUACGACAACAAAGGUAAAGAAUCAGGACUUAUAUUAUAUACGACGGUAAAGAACCGAACCCCUACUUCUAUUAUAUACGACAAGGAGCAUAACCCUAACUCACUGAUAAAGCGACUUUGACCACACCUCGCUCCCCCCUCGCUUACUUAGACUUCUGUUAUGGAUUACAGAUUCAAUUAGGCCGCCCCCGUUUUCUGAUAUUUCAUAAUAGGGUAAUAUAGCGCAUCUAACAUGGAAUUGAGUAUACUUAAGACUUGAUGCUUAAUACUUAAGGCAACACCUCUUCUCUCAGCGCCAACUCCUUAUUGUGAAACGGACUCAGUGACUUAUGUCCUUACUCCAACAAGCAAAGAAUCUCCUUUGCCUCUUUCUUCUCUUGAAACAACUGUUGGGCCAGUCAAACUGGAAUUCCAGAAAGAAGUAGCAUAUGAUAGAAAUAAGUAGUGACCUCAAUCGUUGCUCUUUUCCUCCAAAGCUAACAUUAGCACAACGUCUUGUUCUUUGACUAUUCUAUCUUUCCGUCCUUUCCUUAUGAAGCGCUGUAUCCUCUUGAGUAGAGUACCCUUGGGAGCGAGUGAGGUGAGUCUUACUACGGGGAAGCUCUGGAGUGCGCGAUCAACAGCUCUCAGAUAUUAAUAAAUAAGAAAGAGUGCUUCUUUGUUUGCUUGCCUCAAUUCCUUCUAAAGCGCAGUUGUCAAUGCAAGUGGUUCUGGUUCUGUUGUCUAAAGUGGGUAAGUAGCCAAAUUGCCGGAUAGUGAUUGUCCCGCUUACCCUGGUGGUAUUGUUACAGGGUGCGAAAGAGGCGGGGUUCUUGGCGUAUAGGUGAUUGUUUCUCAGUUAGCGAGCUCAGUUCUGGGCUUUCCCUUUGUUGUCGUAGCGUAGAUAAAGUCAUCUUCCAGUGGGUUUGUUUUCUGCUUAUGCUACUUUCUUAAUAAAUGGAGAGAUUCAAUGAAUUCUUAAGACAGGAACUAAUAUGAAAUGACAGUCGUUUUUUUACAUGCACAUUCUAUACUAACUCAAUGCAGAAUACUAUCUUGAUUGUUGAUUUCGGCUAACUACGUGUUUCAGUGUUUUGAAUCUAUUAUGGAAUAUGUGUUCCUUCUAUUUGAAUUAGAGUAUAUAGUUAAGGAGCUAAGUUUUAGGUUACUCUCUUCUAUAAUCAAUAUGUAAGUUCAAUUCAGAGUUGUCGUGCAUACUUAGUUGUCAUGCAUAUUCCUUAGAGCCAUAAGUAUAGUUUCACUGUUUUGUUAGGGAAAGCAUAUAGAGUAACGGAGUGAUGUGACUCAUUUACAUAAGAGGUGUGCACACUCAAUUCCAAGAACUCAACACCGGUUACAGAGUACUUAGCGCUUCAGAAGGAAAAGACAAGAAGUGUAGUUCAGAAGCACUCUGACAAGAAAUAAGUUGGAGAGUAACCUACUAGAAGAAGCUUGAAAAUAGACCUUUUGCAUCGGACAAACUACUAAAGCUUCUUAUGAUUCUCGAGUCGACAUGAACUUUGCCCUGACUUUCGCCGGUAAACUAUCUUAGCUAUGACGAUGAAGAAUUGUAAAAGAAGAGAGUUUUGGCACCCACCCCGGAAAGUCACCUCACUCUCAAUAUGAUAAUUGCAUUGCUCACUAAAAACUAAGCCUUAGCACAACGAACCGAACGCCGAAAGAAAAGAAUGGAACUCGCAUAGGAGUAAGAGAGGAAGAUAGGCAUAUCACUCUUGACUCUGAGGCUGAGGCAUCGCUAUCCCUAUUUGUUGAAGUAAGCGGGGAACCUAGUAUCGGAAUUGAACAGAGUACUUCCUUAUAUACCAAGUGCUCACCAACUAUGAAAUUCUUAACUUCCAGCGCACUGUAUAAGAAGCCUCAUCUAGAUAAGAAACAGAAGCAAGAUUCGAAUAAGUAGAAUAAGAAACUAUUAACUUAAGUGGGAGGAAGAAAAAGAAAGGGAAGCAGUUGGAAGGUCAGCUCCGGUUGAAGGUAAGCUGUUAUAGCUGGGCCAGAUCCACCAGUUGUUGCUGUAGCGGAACCCUAUGCCUUUUGUUAGCUAGCCCUCUGUCCAAGUUAUUUGUAUAGGGCCUGCAAGAAAGGGUGUCUCCUUCCCUAAUGUCCUGCUGUUUCUUAGUUUCCCCUAUGUCCUUUCAGCAAGUAAUUAAUCGUAUUGCUUUGACCCUUGCAGAGUUCCCAAAAAGCAUGGAGCUUGGGAAGCCUCUCUAGUACCGCCCGGUAAAGAUCCGAACCCUAUCCUUUUCCUUUCCAAACUAAAGAAAGCGUAAGCAAUCCCCUCAUUGCAUACAUAGAUGCUUCCCUAUGAACGAGAACUCCAAUUAGAAUAGAAGGAAGGGGCUAGUAGAACAGGCGCAUUGUCUAUAACCGAAGGAAAAGCUUAUCGAGCGCAUCAAGAUGGAAGAUCUCGAAAUAAAGUAAUAGAGCGUCUCAGGAAUUCCGUUCUGAGACAGCGCCCCCUUGAGUGUCCCCGUAACUCUUCCUCAGCUAGGGCAGGCUGGCAGGCUUGGGUUGUUCUAGACCUGCUCUUGAAGAUAGAUUCCUACCACCAUGGUCAGAAUGAAAGAAUGAACUUACCUAAAGAGAGAGCACCCUAGAGCACAUUAUCACUUUAGCAAUGAAAGUAUAUUACACCAUCUAUUUGUUUCUAAGGGCUCUGGAUAGAUAUAGAUUUAUGGAUCUCUUGCCUUUGUCCGAUCGCUUUCGUUCUGCAGAGGUAGUGGACAAGGCGACAUCCACUCCUGUAAUUCCAGCAAUCAAUCGGGUCAAUUCAUUUACGCGAGACGCUGCUCCACUCUUUAGCUUUGCCAUUCACAUACCGUUAGUUGUAGCUUGGCCCAGGAAAUUCCAUGAAAGGGAAAAGAGACUGCGCACAACGUGUAUAAUAAAGUCACUUAAAACCUAUUCUUCUCUGUGUGGGGGGAACACAACUUUCUUUAUGAACCAACAACACUAGAACCGCCCUACUAGUACUUUCUUAGAGCCAAUCGAUGGCUUGAACUCCCCUAAUGAAAAAACACAAGGACUUGCACAUGGCAAUGGCCGAAAGAACAAGUGUAGAGGCACUCAAACCUGCGAGCUACAGCGAUAACGACUUAGACCACAUAAGGGGAAGGAAACCCAAGGGAAAGCAAAUAAGUCCACUCCACGACACCGCGCUUCAAAGCAAAGCAAGCCUUGACUUUCUUCUGACCUUAACACCACCAAUAACUCGCGUUAGCGCUUUCACUCAACUCAGUUAGCGAGCCUUGUUGAUAGGAUAAAGAAUGAAGUAUUCUGAGCACUUGAAGAUAGUAUUGAAACACGCACAUAACAAGAGACUAUACCGUAGAGCUCACUUUAGCAUUAACCAUGUAGUGGGCCGCUCUUCUUCUUUGAUCAGGAGUUUUAGAAUGUCUUGGAAAGCAGGGUUCAUCUGUUCUUGUUGUUGGCGACUCGAGAGGUUCAGGUGAAAAACAACAUAUUUGGGGGGUUCAGCAAGUAGAGUUAGAAAGGAAGCUUAUGAAUUGCCGGUUCAUCCAGUAGAGUUAGAAAGGAAGCUUAUGAAUAGCCAGUAACAGUUAUACACCCUAGUAAACUCGAGUAAGCCUUAUCCGAUAUAGCUGGAUCAGGAUCAAGUCAGUCAGCUGCAAACAUAGUAUAGCACCUGGUAAUAAGAGAAUCAGAGGAAGAGCAAAUGUACGCAUAAAGUGUACCGAGAAUGAGAAUGUACGCAUAACAAAAGUAUGUGUAUAGAAACCUGUAAAUACCAAGCCAAGGAUCUUAUUCCUACUCAGGAUACAAUACCGCCUCCUCACCUGCGCAUCAAUGACAUUUGCCAUAAGAGGAGUGAAAACCCUACCCUAGUUCAAGUUCUUAAGUAAGCUGCUGCUCUUAUUGUAAGUUUCUGCUCCUGUUCUUGUUUAAUACCGGUAGUACUGUUAUAGUUUAGUGUUGUAGUGGAGAAUUGCCUGUCGGCUUGGCCCCAGUAAGUAGUUAAAGUGAAGUAUUGCCAGCAAAGUCCGUAUUGCCAGUUGCCAGAGCCCCAUAGUUUCUGAGAUGAGCCAGAGUGAAAAGAGCAAGAGAGGAGCCCAAGCCUACUAUACUAUUGAUCCCAACUAAGCAGGCCAAGAAGGUAGCCCCACUUUAGGUAUGGUUUGCAUCAAGAUUUGUACUAAACAAGAAACUACGGAAAUGGUUUAAGUAGUCGCUAACGCUUGUUUGAAAGCUCCAAGAACGAGAGAUAGAAUAGAGUGGUUUGUUUUGAUGUCCGUUGUUGGAAGAGGGGCUAAAUGCUAUCACGUUGUUGGAAGAGGGGCUAAGAGAAUUGUGGAGCAAGCGAAGAGUUAGUUCGUUAUUUAUAAAGAAAUGCGAGUCUAUUACUUACUCAUUUUAUUGUAGCAGCGAGUCAAGGAGUUAUUUCUCUACAAAAUGCAAGUCUAUUACUUACUCAUUUUAUUGUAGCAGCGAGUCAAGGAGUUAUUUCUCUACAAAAUGCAAGUCUAUUACUUACUCAUUUUAUUGUAGCAGCGAGUCAAGGAGUUAUUUCUCUACUCUAAAUGCUUCCCUUUCAUAUUCACAUGGACUUAGACUGCCUUGGAGAAACCAUCUAUUGGGAAUGCUUGAAGAGCGAGAGAGGGUAGGAUGUUACUACCAUUACGCAAAAGAAUGCAAGUAUGAAAAACCAACCCUUCGCUUAGCCAGGUUCGACUACGGUUAAUAUCUAUCAUCAUUAUCUGCAUCACAGCGUCUUAUAAAUCGACACAAGCUACCAUGUGCUUCCACUAUAGGCUUCCUUCCAUAUAUCGUGAUCGAAGGGCUUAGAUAUGCUGCGAUAAUACGGUGAUAUGCUAUUUCUUUUGGGCGGGUACAACCUAUACAAACUAUAGUCCCCCGGCACCUGUAACAUAAACAAGAAGGGAUCAUCUUCCAAGUCAGUAUCACUAGGCUAUUAUAAGCUACAAAAUACUUCCUUUACCGAGCCGAGGAUUUCCUUUUCUUUUUCUCCAUGCAGACUGGACGCAAUGAGUGAGCCCCUAUCCUAUCUGAAGGGAAAUAAUCCCAGGUAAUAUACAAAACCUACCCUCAAGUUGGACCAACCGGGAAUUCUCCCCCAAUCCCUUAAGAGGUAGCGUCAGUCCAGAUCUGUGCACGAACCUAGAAUCCAUUUCUCUCGAUAGAAGUAAGCAGUAGUUCCGUCUCUGGCCAAACUAAGAUAAAAGAGGCAUUCAAUACUUAGCUUCAAUUCCUUUUAGUGGAGCCGCAUUCUUUACUAUAUGAAGAUAUGAGUACCAUAGCCGUCUGUCUAGUUUAUGCGUGAAACUUCUGGUAAUAGCAUAGCUUCGUUUUUCACUCCUCUUUGCUCAAUGCAUAGCAGAAGAGCUUUGCAGGAAUAGCCUACAAUCUAGAACAAACAAUCUGAUUGAAUCUUUCCCUCUUCUGGUAACUGAGUUCCUGCCGCAGAAAGAAUUUGAAUGGAGGAGAGAGCUAAUGUUAUUAUUUGGUGGAGAAGCAUUGUGUAUUAGACUUGGUCGACGAUAUUGAUCCUUAUUUCUCUUCUAUUCUUAACACAGUGUGGUAAGAGCGAAUGCAGUCAAUCUCAUUUGAUGGAGAAGUUGCCCUGCCCUUUCUUUCUCUUGCUUCUAUUCCCGUCAACGUACCGAAAUAGGAUAUACAUUUGAUCAAAAAGGAGUCACUUCACAUGAGAAGCGUUGAAUCACAACCAGUAAAAGAAGCUACUUUGCAGAACCAAACAUAUAUCAAGCAAGGAACGAGUUUAAUCAGGUAUGUCGCUUGCCGCUGUCCUAGCUUGUAGCCACAUCGGUAAUGGUAACAGCCAAUAAGUUGAUCAAACACCAGUCAAGGAAGUUCAAAGACAGAAAGAAAGGAGGUCCCAGGGGAAAGGCUUUCAGCACCUUAUCCAAUCCCCUCCCGUAGGUCUCGAAGUAAGCUGGGUAAAACAAAUCCGGAACGGGGCAUCUUUGGCAUGUAGUUGCAGGACUUAUUCUUCCUAUUCUAAUGUUAUGAUCAGAAUGAGUCUGUUGUAGUAAAAGUCAAAACAACUGGUGCUACACGCAAAGCGUAUUCUCCUUUGAGCUGACUUCGACCGCGAGCCUAUGGCAUAAGGUAUCCAGGAAUUCCGUUCCUUAGACAAGGGCCCUUUCAUCAAUUGUCAAUCUUAUGGCUGCCAAGGGCGAAUGGGAAAAAUCAGUACUGAGAGGGACGGGGAAUACAUAAAGGAAAUAGAGUAGACAAGCAGACAGCAGGUUUACCUUUUCUCCCCGAAAGAACGGAUGGUUUUUUUCAGCGUAUGAAGUCGUUCAUUUCCCACGUCUUUGAUUUCUCAGGAGCCCUAACUAGCAUAGGCGGUAGUAGUCAACUACGUCUUACCCCGGUCCAAAAUAAGGUCAACGAUCCAAACAAGGAGUUUCACUCUUCCCCAGUUGCGGAAAUCUACGAUUAUCUUGGUCUUUACGACUAAUUGCUUUCUCUUUCAACAGACCUACGGAAGAUGGAAGGAAGUGUUCCUGAAAUGACUUCUUUGAUUUUUGGAAGUAGUGAUUGGAAUCUGCCUUUGUUGAAUCUGCUGAUGAGGCAUCUGCUUUCUAUUAGACACCUUGUGAAAAGCUCUUUCCUUUCUCUCACCCCCACUGCUUCCCGAAGAGAUUGACUACAUUCCCACUUUUGUAGCUUGUAAGCGCUAAAAGGGAUCGUACAGAAUGUUACGGUUGCCAUCGGUGCUAGUCUGUAGUUCGUCUUUACCAUUGUCCAAUGCUUCUGCUUCAGCCUAUGGUUUACCGUAUCACUCGAUCAAUGUAGGCCUUCUCCUUGCCGGUCUCAUGACUAGUUCGUAAGUCUUUCCUUUUCUAGAAAGGAUGUUCCACCGCUUUUACCAGGAAAGGGAUUAGAAAGAGUAGUCUGCUUCAUUAGAAAGUAUUAGUUUUGCUUUGCUUUAUAGUCUACUUAGUUUGAGAGGAUGAAUCGAUUCUCUGAAUGUAAUAGAAGCCAACUGUGAACAAGAUCCUAAUCCUAGUAAUCAAUUGCUAAUCCUAGUACUAAAUAGAGGAAUAAGUAAAGUAGAGAAGUAAAGUAGACGUCUACAUCAGUAGAAGCCUAGAAGGCAAAACUCUGGGAAGGUUUAGAGUCACCGCUCAAAAAGGACAAGAAAAAGGCGAGUUUCGAUAAGGUAUCAGGUAACGUACAGGUCCAAUUCCAAAACACGAAGAAGACCGAACCUUCUUUAUACCUCGUAAGAGACGAAGGAAAGUGGAUUCUAUACUUUCUACGAAAAGCGCUAUAAUCCCAUCGAGAGAGUUAGAGUCUUUGAUGUUUGUUUUCGAAGGCCUAUCAUUCCUUUGGUUGCUAAAGUCUGGAUCUGUGGGGUAAAAGUACGAGAUCUCGUACUCAAUUAGAAUGUAAUAUAUUUGUUAUUAAAGUGUGUAGCGAAAGGACUUAAGCUUACAUACAAUAGGCCUAUGAAAGAAAGUAGCCGUAGAGAUUCAAUCAUAACAAAGAGAAGGGCCAAGGGUUAUAAUACUCAUAGAUUCCUUAGCCUUAUUUGUUAGUAAAGUCGUUAAGGUCGGUUUGUGUAGUUCAGUUAUUUUGAACGAUCUCCGAUCACAGCGUAUACUCGGAAAGGCAAUCGAGACUUAGUCUCUGUUUAAGUUGGUCAAGCUCAUCAAACUAGAAUGUCGUCUCCCACCUCACCCUCUCCUGGUGCUGAUGGGGUUAAUGCAUCUACUGUACCAGGUAAGACAACAGACUCUGAUUCACUUCAAUUAAGGCAUUUCUCAAGCUUAUCUUCCAUUUCCAUUGUUUAGUCCUACCCCUGUAUACUAGUCACUCACCAAACACUUACUCAAUUUGCCUGAACUCAACGUAACCAUACUGAACUUUCACUUGUUUCAAAGCCUAACAUUACUUCUGCGAGAGAAUAGGGGGACCCGACGAAGAAAGGACUCGUUGCUUGGCUCUUGUAAGCUUGUUAUUCUUUCCUUCGCUUGGGACUCACUAGCACACUCAUUGCUGCUUUCUUGCUUGAUUGCUUCUGAUGAACCAAACCAAUGAUAGAGAUCUCUAAGAGCUGCUCUUCAAUCCGUCCCUGAGCUUCUACAGGAUGUCGGGCAUUCAUUCCGUCUUCAGGUUCAGAAUGCGUCGAAAGAAGACCUUCGCGCCGCUAGCCUCCUCUUGGUACUCGGUUUUUUUGUUCCUGCCUGAGUAGUUGUUCAAAGGAAAGAUGGUCAAUUUCUAUCAAAAAGGAGAGAUGGUCCAUUUCUAUCAAUGUUGACAAGGCGAAGAACUGAUAUAGAGAGUAGUAAUAUUGGCCUAUCGCACAGCCCAGUUUGCUUGAUUUGAUUAAUUCUGCAUUCUUUAUAUAGGUUUGUUUUCUCCCUGACUAAAUGUUACUUUAAGGACCUAUUUUACCUGCGGUUACUUUAAAGGAAAGGACCUCUUUUCCGGCUUCUUGGCCACAACCACAGCUAUGGCUCGUAGUAGAAAUAGGGUUCUUUGAUCGCUUUAUUUGCCGCUUCAGAGUUGUAGAUUGAUCUCCUAUACAUCUUGGUAAAGCAGUGGAACUAAUGGCUGGCCGCGCAGGGGUACAUUAUGCUAAUCAAGCAAUAAGUUCAAGUAUAGUGAUUUUAGUGGAAUAGACUAUGACUGGACACAAAGUGACUCUUCCUUAAUAAUAGGGUACUGGGUAAUUGACUCAAUUCAAUUUCAUUAAGGGAGGGUGAGAAUCAGAUAGCUGACGGGCGGGCCUUUUGCAUUCUCACUCUAAUGUUGGAGCUAAGCUCAUGUAACGGCUGUUUCCGGUAGUUGUAGUUGCCUUUAUGUCCGAAAGCCUGUUCAGAAGGUGCGACAGAAUGGCGAUUCUCUUGCUCGUGUCUUGGUCACAUCUACUGCUACAGCAAGUAGUAUAGUAUUAGUAGGAGCUCAUAGUCUUUUCAUUGCUCGCCCGAAUCCACUAUUCUCUCAGUUUCUUUCGUCUGUGGGACGCCUGAGAUAGACUUUUGAAAACGAAAGCUUGCUUGCUAUUCUGAGACUUUCUCCUGUACCGUGGAUUCCAACAUCUUUCGAUCAAUAGUACCCCGUUCCAUAUAGCCUGACUGUAACUGAUUGAAUUGCCUGGUUCACUAUUUGUAUUCGAUCAAGGAAGUUUCAAAUCCAGAGCUAGAAAUCUCUUUACCACUAAUAUAGAGAAGGUAGCAGUCUUUCCCUUCCUAUACGCAUUGUCAUCAGAUCGAUCCGUUCCUCUUCAGCAAAGCACAAGAUAAGAAAGAGGAGUGGUACCCUAACCGCUUACUACUUUCUAUAUUCUAGGGGAUAGCUAUCCUCUUGGAUUUGAUCUACCCGUUGCUUGCUUACACUUGAAUCACGAAUAUUGGCAUACCCACAAUUGCAGUUAGAAUAUCGGCCUAGAACAAGGUUAAGAAAUCCAAUCGAGUUGGGGUGCAAGGAAUUUCAUCUAGUUAGCAGCAUAUGAGAGAAGAUAGUAACAACACGCUUAAAAGUAGCAUAUGAGAGAAUCCAGUAAACACAUCUUACAGCUAUUACCCCACUACAUUCCGUUAGCGAGUUAUGUCAUCGGCGUUAGGGAGUGACUUAAGCUUACGCGAGCAGAACACUGAAACUGUUGCUUUAAGACGAGAAUAUAGCGUUCCACACAUCACAUAUAGAAUGAAAGUCACUUAACAGAGCAUUGCUUUGUUUAAUCACUCAUCAAAUUCUUCUUAAGAGUUCUCUUUGUUUGCUUGAUAAGGCCGAUCAGAAGUCUACUCCUGCAAUGAAAUAGAAGUUCGCCUUAGUUCCCUGACCGUCUUCAUAGUCACAGUCUUUUCUUACGGUGGAAGUGAGUCUCAGGUCGAAGUGCUUCACCCCGCAAACUAGCAUUCUUUCCUGCUUGCUUCCAAGGGAAUCGGGAUAUAAAGAAUAUGAAUAUGUCUCUUUUCAAGUACUGAAAGAGUUAUUCUCUCCUUAUACUUAUUCCCCUACUAAGGACUCAAGUGGAAUGUGCUCCAAAGAAGGUGCUUCCAAGCAAAGGUUAUCGGGCCCGGCAAAGAGUUAUCUUAGCUUUUUCUCUCAUGAACAGAUUGAGAAAGAUAUUGCUGAAGAAGCCAUUGAAUCAACAGCUGUUGAAUAAGCGGUGGUGAAUAGGCCCUUGGAGGAAGAACAGGACAGGGGGAACCUUAACACGGCAUAGAAGGAACUUGCACGAAAUGUCCUGCUAACAUAGCAUAGGAGCACUCCUACAAAGAAAUAGAAUAGCUCACUUCAGGGGUAAAAGGCAAAAAGGGUCUGUCUCUGUAAACAAGAAAUGGAAUUGACCCUUAGGGACCUGCUAUUGGGCAAACUUAGUGUUGUAAAGUGAAAGUCCAGUAAGAAAUGAAUGAAAUAAAGUCAAAGUCAAACUCAACUCCCUGUGGUUAGGGAGUUCUUAUGCACCCCGUAUCCGCACACGUUAGCUUAAACAAACCACUUUGCUUCCUCUUAUAUUUCUUAUUAUUCAGUGGGAUUCUUAUGCUUCCUCUUAUACAUGGUAAGAAGUCCCUUCUAAUAAGUCCUAGAUAUACAACUUAGUACAAACUAUUAGAAAAGCCUAGCCUGAUUGAUUCUAAGAGCAUAGAGGAACCUAGAAAGCCUGAUUGAUUCUAAGAGCAUGGAGUAACCCAGAAAAGGAAAGUAUGAUGGAAAAGGAAAGUUGGAUUGAUUCUAAGAGCAUAGAGGAACCCGAACCCUAUACAUACAAUAAGUAUACAUACAUGAAGCUUAAUUAAUAGAAAACCAUCCCAAUCUAAUCCAUAAUAAAGAUAGUAACAGUUCUUUUGAAGAUAUUAUUGAGCCCGGUAACAGUUCUUUUGAAGAUAUUAUUGAGCCCGAUACUAAAGAAGCACGCAUAGAAGAACGCUACUCUUGCAAGAUUGAGUUUCUAGGUGUUUUCUUAUCUUCUUCCCGUCCUGCUAUUGGUGAAAGAAAUAUCUCCUGAGAGUCUGGAACUCGCUAAUGCUGAUGAAGUCACUCGCUUACUUUAGUUUAUGUUGCUUGUUGAGUUAUGUAAGUUAUUGUUUUAUGUGUUAGCGAGAGUUUUGCCUUUUUCUAUUCUUUCUCCUCUUUAAGCUAUCUACCAUGACUUGAAUCUCUAUCUCUAUAUAAUAGUUCUAACAUAAGAUCGUAAUGGGUCCCUUUGCCUAAUGUGUUUUUCUUAUCUUUUGUUUCUUUCCUCGGUCGCGCCUGAUCUUUCAUCGAAUAAUUGGGCCUUGUUCGGUUUAGUACUUAAAGCAUUCCAUUAUCUUAGUAGUUAGAGCAUGAAUUCCCUAUUGAUAUCAAGCAUAUAAGGAAAGAACGUCUAUGGCCUCCGAGCUAUAAGACGACUUUGUUACUGAACCCUGCCCGGAUUUAUUAGGAGAUUUUCUAUGGUGGUAAAUAACUCUCUUUUUGACUAAACAAGCAAAAGUCUACCGAAUUCUAUGAAUAGGUGCAUUUUCGCUAUCUGUCGAUUCCUCAUUGCAUUCUUUUACUGAACGUAUGAGUGUGCCAACCAAGCCAGGGAAGCGGAUAUGCUGAUUGCUGGAAGGAUAGCUAACACAAUUCUUCUUGCCCACAGGCUCAUUCUAUGAAAUAAAGAAUAGAGAGCCGAUCCAACCAAGAUCUAGAAAUACGUGUAGACCAUAUUGGAAAUAGAGAGCGUCUAUAGGGUUAGAGCGUAUAAGGGGAUUGAUUGGGGCUCAAGAUUGGAUGACUUCGUCGGUGGACUUUACACUUAUAGACGAGAAAAUGCCUUCAUAAUCUCUCUGUUUGAGGCGCAGUGGCUACCUAGCUUUCUUCACAGAGCGUUCUGUCCAUUAGCAUCAGUAUUGUUCAAUAGGCUUUCUUAGGGUUUCUCGACAAAAUCAUGGAAUUGAGUGCAAUAUGUUCUAAUUUAUUAACCUAGCUUCUGACUCUCUUCUUUCUUAUAGUUUCAGAUUGGAAUAGUCGUAAUACACAUUCUAUCCAAAUUGUAAAGUAACCGAACUCAAUAAGUGAAACAUCUUCCAUCUUCAAAUGAAUAACUUGUUUGCUUGCUUCAUAUCCUUUCUGAGUUUAGAAAUAGCCUUUUGUGAGUUUCGUUCUUGUCUUCAUUGCGUCGGCUAACGCUUAUUCUUGGGGCGAGUGUCAUAGUCGAUGGAAGCUCGUCUCGUAUCACAUCACCUUUAUCUAGCAAAGAAUCCCAUAAGUGUGCUCGAAUCACCGCAUACAAAGAAGCUCAAGCUUUAGAAGCAUAAGCCAUCCCAUGAGUGCAAUCCCCAGUCAUACCAAGCAGGGUUCAAGAGUUCAUUGAAUGGAUGGUACUCGCUAUAUAGAAUGCUGAGCCUUACUCCCUAUAAUAGGUCAAAGGCUUCCUUCUGGAAUGAACUUUAACUACGCGCAUAGUCCAAGUAAGUGGAAAGAUUGACUAAAAGCAAUUGUUAUUGACCAUCCUUUUGCUUUGAGUUUGUAGAGUAAGUCAAUGGGGACUCUAGUCCUUACUGAUUUGAUCCUUGCUAUCCGAGAUCCGUAGAAGAAACUUAAUAAGAGGAAGGGGAGUUCUUGUGGAUGGAGUGUAAGGCUAAUACUUUCGGUUGACUUGCUCGUCAGGGAGUUGGGUAACAAAUUCCGCCUAUGAUUGGUUGCUGGAAUCAAAGGGAUAGAUUCGAUUCUUUCGGGCCGGCAGGUAGGUUCCGAAGACAGGGAAUAGUCGUUUUAAGGUGAAUGGCGUGUAAUCAAAGACUUAAUGAAAGAGGUUAUGGGGCUUUCUUUGGUUAUUCCAUCGGUGGGGGAGUAGCUCAUUUGUAGGAGUGAAGGAGUCAGCUUCUAAGGUCAAAGCUAGGAGAGAUAGUUCCGUCUCGCUCAAAGUAUUCUCUGUCGCCCAUCAUCUUCGUAAAGUCCACCGCUGAUCUAUAACCUUGGAGUCACCUCCCGCUCAUUCCUUCCGGCAACUCUGAAUUUGGAGUGGGUAGGCUUAUUCUUUCUCAACCAACUGUAGACUACUUUUGGUUAGUUACAUACCAUAUAAAUCCAAAGAUUCUCUCUAUCUAAGCAAGUAUAUACGUUAGUUAUCUCUAUCUAAGCAAGUAUAUACGUUUGAUUCGCUCAGGGAGAUCCUUUCUAGAGUCAUCGGCCAGCCAUAACAUAAGGAUGAACAUUUGGAAAGCGCAUCCCCGGGGCCCGUCUAGUGAAUUAGGAACGCAUCGGCAUACCGACCUGCCUCCGCUAAGGAAUGGGAUUGAUCCAUGUAACGGCAAGCUUACAAAUAUAUUGAUGUACCUCAGAUCCAAUGGUAUCAGGCACUUUCCGCUUCGGUGAAUGGUCUUUCUCGAGCUCGAGUGGGGAUUCCAACGAAUGGGAUCUCUUCCUAAAGGUUUGCGAGAUGGGGGGCCAUAAGAAGCAUCGAAAUAGCUCGUUCAGACAGAGAUGUAUGUGUCAAAGUAUACCUACAAGUAGCUCGGGUGUACUAUACUCUAAAUAAAGAAGAAGCUACCUGUUCAAUGGAUUCCAAAUCUUUGAUGCCUGGCCAGUUUGUUAUAAGCUUUGAUUUGAGCCUUGAGCUGCACUUUGGCCUUUUUGAGAGGAAGUCUUCCCUUUUGUCCUAGAGCAGAGUUAGGACUGUGGGGAUUUCGGGAUGGUCGUCGGGCAAUAGGUGGAGUUUGGAUUGGACAAAUGGGAGUUGCUCUUGCUAGAGACUAGACUGUUCCGGGCCCUUUCGGCUCUUCCAAAUAAUAUGCUGUUCUCUUUCCUCUUGCUAUUAGCAGCUAUAUCAUCUGCCUAAGGAGAUUUCGAGUCUGCCUUUGUUGUCUUGUUCGGGAGAGAAGGAGAGAUAGCUGGUUUAGAAAGAGAUAUAAGGAGCUGAAAGCCUUUGCUUUCCAGAAUUCACCCCAAAAGGAACUUCCUAGGCGUGGUAGUGGUUUCUAUGGUCCCAACUCAGAAUUUCGCUUUAGUUGAGUCGACAGGGAACGAAUGCUUUGCGGGGAAAUAAGCUCUUGUUGACGAAGCCGAGAAUGAAGAAAGAGAUUAUGAUUCAAGUUCUACCAAGUGAGUGGCCUCUUAUUCAUCUGUUUGAGUCAGAUUUCUAGGGUAGGAGCGGCAGGCGCAAAGUCAAUGCUUUUUGCUCACCCUAAGAAGAUAGCAGCAAUCGAGCAUGGAUUUCUACUCUAGAGUGAACGAGAUCCAUCCCACCUCCAAUGGAAAAACUCCUAGUCUUCCUUCCGCUUGACCUAUCUAGCUUCAAUCGAGAUCACAUUGAACUAGGCAAUCAAGUUUCUACUUAACUAGCAGCCACAAAGGGCGAAGGAAAGUCGGAUGAAAGUGAUCUGAAUGGAAGUGAAGGGACCAAUGUAUCGUAUAUCAAGAUGACGACAGAAUUGAUAAGCUCAAAUGAAAACGAAAAAUGUCGUUAGAGAAGACAGCUACUUUUACGCCCCAAAAUGACCAUGCUUUACGUUGGUCAACAACCAACCACAACUCCCUAUAGUUCUUUCACCACUCGUACAGGCAGAAUAAUUUCUCUCAAUCAAGAAUGCCUCACCUAGAGAAAUGAACUUAUUUUACACAAUUCUUCUGGUUUUUCUCUUCUAAUUUGUUAGGAGUCAAAUGCAUCGAUAAACAGCUCGCCCAAUGGAGCUUUGCCUCGCGUGGACUUCUCUUCUGGCGGUCUAACAAAGCCGGUAAUCGAGCAGCUAAGACACUUUAUUACUCAAGAAGAAAGCCAGACGGAAUUCUCAAUUCCAAAAGUCGGGGGAAUCUAUUUUUCUUACAUCCGUCAUUUUCACACAAAAUCAAUCGAAUGAGAAUGAAUGGAAGCUUCAAUUUAAAGGUCAGCUGAGAGCCGGGAUGUAUAUUCUUUGAAAGCUAGGGCUUCUGGCUUUCGCAUUUCCCACAGUUAGAAGGAUUGAUUGGAAGUUAUAGCUUAUUCUGUAUCUAAGAGGUAUAAGUGAAAGCUGUACUAUCUCCUUCAGCAACUUCACCGCGGUUAAUAAGGUCAAUGUCACUUUAUACUGCACGAAGCGAACUACAGGGUUGGAUAGGUCCGUCCCUACUUUGGUCUAGGAUCACAGUCAAGGUAGCCAAAAAUCAUAGGUUCUCAUCAAUCCAGGAAAGAUUUAUUCACAAUUCCAGUGAGUAAACGGCAAGGAAGGACGUAGGCACCGUGACUCUAAACUCCAAUUGCCUAGAAUCGCCUUCUGUUAGUAGGAACGAUCUGGCAUUUCCUAAAUCCUGUUUUCACAAGUUCAAACACUAUCGCUGUAGGAUUAGAGAGCUCUUGUCUUGCAUCCUUUAGCUUAUGCUGUUGAGCAGCUGAAAGAGAGGACCCAUCUUCCGUUCAGAUAGGUAAACGUCCCUAUUAGAAGAGAUUCUUUCGAACCACACUUUGGAUCUAUAUAGCAAAGGCAGCUCUUCCAGCUUUAGUUAAUCAAUGCGGAGGUACCUUUCUUCGCUUAGUAGCACUAUUCUGGCUUUCUCUUUAGCGCAUAGCUAGUUUUAAGCUCAAACAACUACGGGGGAAUUCUCAAGCGUUGGGUGUUCCAAUCAAUCUUUGCGAGAAACCUCUGUUCUAUAUAUGUGACUCUUGAGUUGGUUGGCUACCUCUUAAGGUGGUCUUAUGCCCGCUUUCGACUUGCCUGCCGUAAACAGGAAUUGUAAGAAGAUUUGUUCAAGCGUCAGGCGCUGCAACUCUUUUUAGUCCUGUGCUCGAGCGUUAGUGAGCUGAGUGUUACAUCUCUUUAUAUACAAGGGCUCGAUGGAUUCCAUUACAGAAGCAACAGCAACUACGGAAGCAGUUAUAUUUAUUACAACAAAAAGAUUCUAUCAGUGGCCUCGAAAGUAACAACACUGAAGAAUGCAAUUGAGAGCAGAUAGUGCACCCAUACAUCCAUUAUAGAUAGAAGAAAGUGACUUAACAAAGCAUUGCUUUCUUACCGCACUUAUGGAAAAGAGAGUGCACCAACCACUUAUAGUAUAAAUUCAGAAAAACACAGAGCACUGUCAAGUGUUUAAUAUCAUAUCUGCACUGCACCCACGAGAGUAAGCGCUAGCAUAAGAGCGAAAGAAACAUCUAAGUCUGCUGAAACAAGCAAAGUCAGACCUUGUUAGGAGUUCUUUGAAGAGAAUUGAGGUGCACACGGUAUAUAGUACCUUCACUGCCUAUGAGCUUGUUUAGUCUUGCCUUCUUGUGCAUGAGGUAAGGUUUCAUCCGUAUUUGUUGGCUCCCAGGCUUAUGAUCUUUCUUAUGAUUGAUCUUCUGCUUGGGCCUUCCAUUCCUUUACUUUCUCUGGGGUAGCUGACUCAAUCUCUAUUCCCUUAUCUUCUUGUUCCGUUACGCAGAAGUUGACUUUAUUUACUUGUGUUUACUUGUGCUGUAGCUUAUUCUCAGGGCUUAUUUAUUGCUUAUUUGCCAGAAGAAUAAUAGAAUAUAAGAUAAGUCUCUUUGCUUUUUGCUUGUUUCAUAACCAAUAGGUGCGCGCCGUUAUUGAAUAGAUUAUGGACUCGUUCCCUAUAGAGUCACAUUAAAGCAGCCUAAGUGAAAGAUAAACACAGUUUUCGAAUAGAUUAUUGACCCGCUCCCUAUAGGAAGCAAUGAUAAUGAGAGAAUGACGAGGAAGCAAUGAUAAUGAGAGAAUAGAAGCUCGUUGACUUUAUUUUAUUCUAUCAUAUGCCACAAUUAAGCUGUUAGUUUACUCUCCUUAAUUAUAGGUAGGAGCACUCAAUUAUAGCUAGAAUACCUGGAAAAUCAAUCAGCAAGCGCUUGCUUUCGAACUCCAUUAGACUCACCGUACGAAACGACAAGGCAGGAAGGAGCUACUUGACUUUAGACGUAGAGCUUCUAUCGGAGAUGAACUACACUUUCAACUGUACGAAACUACAAGGAAAGCCCUUAGCAUAUACUAAAACGCAAUCCCUACCACAUAAUGGGCGUAUAUGAAGUCUGGACCACUACUUGGGGGGCGGAAGAUGGCUUCUUAUCGCUAUAAAGGGAGGCUUCCACGACCCGAGCACAGCACCCCGCCAGAACAUUAUAAGCGUAAGCGAGUUUAGGAGAGUAACUUUACCUCUCUUGACUAUAUAGUAUUGGGCGCAAGAACUCAAGCAAGCCUCAAACAGGAGCAGCUCAGGACUCUAUCCUUUUAGAUUACCCGCUUGAUGCUGACUUUCGCACUGAUUCAUAUCCAAUAGCUAUAACUUCAACUGGACAUUCUGGUGAUAAAACCAGACUUGCUUCUUUCCACACUUUAGACUCUUUUCUUUGUGAGUUGAGACAAACGGAAUUAAUAGCCUUAACGCGCUUUCAAAGCUAGUACAAACUUAGCUACUCUGAACUCCAGGAAUUGAAACUGCUUCCCUUUUGAAAGAAGAUUGAUUGAAGAUUACCCCUUUCUAUACGAGACGUUCUGCUCACCAGUACACUUGAUUCUUGCCCGGCGCGAAGAAGUAAGCUAAUGCACCGUUGGUUGCUUUAAGAAGAGAGUAUCGCGUUCCACAUAUCGAAUGUGUAGUAAAAAAACAGAACUUAAUGCGGACUCCUCCAAGGUAAGCUAACGCACAACUCAAUCGGAGAGAAAAGAUUAGAUGCAAUGCAAGGCAAGAGUUCUCAGAGAGAAAAGAUCUUCAAGCAAGUUCAAUUACUGGUUUUCCUGUUUUUCCGGGGUAGAAAUUGAUUGAUAGAUGCUAGUAGUAGUAUACGAGUUUCCUUAUCCAUCUUCUAAACAAGAUCAGUAUCAUCGGCAGGAACAGUAUCAUCGGCUAAAGCAUAAGCUGGAUCAAGUAAGUCAGUUGGAUCCGGAGUUGGAGCAGGAUCAGAUGUGGCCCUUAAGUAAUUGGUUGAAUUGAAUCCGUUCUCCUAUCUCCUAUAUAAAGAGAAAUCAUUCAUUUAGUAGGGUUCGCCCUUCCAUUUAGUAGGGACCAAGCAUAUACUAAUGUUGCACGGAGGAAGUCUGGAUACUUUGUCGGUAGAGAAGCCUUCCUAAACUCCAUAAGAAGAAGUUGAACCUGUUGAUAGCGCCUCCCAUCCCAAUAGAGAUAUUUGUUAACCUAAAACCCAUAAACCUUACUGUUUGAAUAGAAGAUUGAUGUCGGCACCCUUACUUCCUUUCGAAACCCAUGUAAUCUUCCUUGCUAGCAGCUCCAGCUUCUAAUCCAUAUAUUGAUCCAGCUUCCUCUCCUGAUGAUCCGUAUUCCCUUGCUUCAAAGCCGAUACUUGAUUCUUCAAAUUCUCUAAAUUCUAUUGAAAACAUGACCACUGGAAUUCUAUCUUACUUAUAAUAUAGGAGCACGGAUGAAACAGCCAAUCUUAAUUCCUUUAUAGGAGCGGAGGCAGAAGAUCAAGAGAGUACUUGCUUUCUUGUCUAUUAGUAGCUUGGCUCUGUUACUUGUCUGCUUUCCGGAUAGCUUUCAUUGCAUCCCUUGCCCACCUCGUCAUGAGCAAGUAAAGUUUCUAGCCCAGUUCUUGUUCGAGUGGAAUCCUAAAAGAAUUAUAUGCACUUCUCUAAUAGUAUAUUGUUUGAUCAGAUGCAACAGCUAUACUUUGCAGGUAGUGAGUGACUUCACACUGUCGGAAUCACCAUAGCCCAAUGAUAAAAAAGAGAGAUUUGAGUGCCCUUGAUGCUAUACUUACACAGUAUAAGAAACCAAUCGAAAUUCAUUAUUAUAUUAUAUAUUCUAUUAUAGGAGACUAUCAGAUUGUAUUAUAGGAGACUCUAAGAUUUCCCCUCUAGGUCUUGAAACUCCCUUCCCUUAUGCUGAAGUAAAAGAAUGAACUGGCACUGCGGAUUCUUGAGUAGCAAACACCAAACACUGAUUCCACUCGUACACUUAGGUCUUAAAAGCCGGAUCCAGAUCUAGCUUCUGCAAAUCUCCUCGCCAACAACAAGAGACUUUAGGGAGGUUAGAGUUCUUGUGUUAAGCAAUGAGGUUAAUGUCAAUUGUCAGCUGUCCCCUGGUAGAUCCAUAAUGCUUAGCUCCAUCCUAUUAUUCUAAAGUACACUUUCCUAGCUGUCAACGCGACCCGACCUAUACAUGAAGGGCACUCCUUCACCACCCGGAUACAAAGAUGAAAUAGAUGUAGAUUCCCGCUUCUGCGCUAAGGGAGUUUAUAGGUUUAGGUACAUAUAUAAGAUCUAGUAAGAUAAAGGAUAUAUUAAGAAAACAAUUCCAUAAGGGUAUUCCCUUAGCUUGUCGGCUUGGCUCAUUGGACUUUUUCUUGCUUUGGUGAUUUGAUUCCAAAUCGGUUCACGGGACCUUAGUGUUUUCAUCAUUGAAUCUAGCUACCCUUGCGAGAGCAGUUAGGGACUUCCUUCUAUCAUACCUAGAGCGAGAGCAGAGCCAGCAGUCAGCGCAAGUCCUGUUUUCUUGAAUCAAAGAAUAGCUCUCAUACUGGGGGAGUUAUCUACUGAUUCUUUCCCUUAACUGAACUUUCCUAGGGCAGCUAACAGACUUGAAACGGAAUACUUUACUUCGAGGCAUAAAGAGAUAUUCCACCUAGUUAUAAACGGACAAGCUACUCCUUUUGGAUCAAAUGAAGGAGCUGUGGGAAUUAGCCUUAACCUCUCACAUGUAGCUGGCAAUGAUUCACUUCCAAUAGCAAUAGAGUUCGGGUCGAUAACACACCUAAGGUAUUUCAUUGUUUAUUUCAUUUGAUAAUUGUUCCAAACUAUGACUAGUGGUAUUAAUCAAAUCAGGGUUUCUUGUUCGAUUACUGAGUAUCCAUUCAUUCGAUACUCAUCUGCUUCCAUUUCACUUUACGUAAGCGAGCCCGGGCUCCUCUCCUAUCCUUCCUUCCUUCCUUCGAGCUGCUCAAAGGCCCCUUUACUAUAUUCUUCUGAAUUGAGAAUAGUACUCCAAAUCCAAUCCUUUCUUUUUGUUAAUGAAUAUACAUUAGGCAUUUCAUUAGAGUCUAUUAGAUUACCAUUCAUUUCAAAACUCACAGGAUAUCUUCCCGAACCAAACAAGAAUCUGGCCAUGAAUUUGGCUUUCACGCUCCAUUAUUGAUUGGAUUUAUGGUAUUGGUAUUCCCUGAAUCCAUCUUUUUUCAUGUGAUGAGCCUACCCUCUCCUUUCUGUUUGUAUUCAAAGAUGUAAAAACGGAUGAUACAAAACCAGAAUAUCAGGAGGACUCGACCAGACAAUAAUAUACGAAUUGUAAGCAAAGUGGAUUUACCUAUAAGUCACGAAAUGCUAUGGUUCCUGACAUAUGAGAUUCUUAUUCUAUUUAGAAAGAAGUAAUUCAUCGAGAUCGUGCACCUUUGACUAUACUACUACUAAAAAGGAGAGGAGCAUCAAGUUUUCCUAUACAACUACUAUACUUUGACUAUACUACUACACUACUAUACUAUAAGGAGCAUAAAUCUACUAUACUAUAAGGAGCAUAAAGAAAGUGCAGCUGGAUGGAUCCAACCUAUUCUUGAAAUACACAACUCGCACACACUCCCUUUCCAAAAUAAAUCAAUACACCAAGCAAAGCACUAAACUCAGAUUGAAUCAAUACACAAAGCAAGCACUACACUUAUUGGAUUUUUGGCUAAAGGUAGAAAACCCGAAACUCCCAGCGGAUGGCCAGUGACCCAAGGAAACGAAAGAAUCCAAAAUGUCCAUUUAUCAUAUGCAACCCUACCUAUAUAUAUGAUUAUGGAUUAGAUUAGAUCUCAUAUCAAUGUUUUUCUAUUGUACGUCGCUAAGGAAAGGACAGAAAGGAAGAAAGCAAGCGAAUCUGUCUGGUAAUUCCUCAUCCUCAAUUCCGCCCUGCCUGGCGUAUUGUCUCAACAAAUAAAUAAGUCAUUAUAAGUCAAGCAAGCAAGUGUUAAUAUAAAUAGAAUAAGCUAAGCAGCAAAGGGAAAUUCCAAGUUCAAGUUAAUCAAAUCUGAAAGUAUGUAAGGUAUAUAUUUGAAGAAAGAAAGUCUUGUAAGGUACCUUUUUUCCAUUUAUUGGACUUAUCAGGAUGAAACCAAAGGAUUCGCAAAUAAAAGCGCUAACGCCACGACCAGUCCGUAAAUUGUUAAAGCUUACUGCCAUAAAAGCUAGACUAAGCAAUAAAGUACCUAGUAUUUGCCCCUCUGCUUCUGGUUGUCUCACAAUACCUUCUGCAGCUUGGCCUGCCAGCAGUACCUUGGCCAACUCCAGGUCCAAUAGAAAGAAGGCAAGCCAGCCCCACGCACGGCCACCAAUACAGCAGCAAUAACUGAAGCAGCGGAAAGCAGUGGAUUCAUGGGAAGUUCCUCGCACAAAAUCACAGAAAUGGUUAAUGAUCCAAUAAACCAAUGAAUUAUGACUCAUUUCUCAUUAAGAUCCAGCGCUACGGUCCGAAGUCACUAAUAACUCAGAUAUUCGAUUCUUAGAUUCCAUUAUGAUAUAUAUUCUAUUAUAUUACUCCAUCUAUGAUAUAUAUUCCAUUCUAUUACUCCAUCUAUGAUAUAUAUUCCAUUCUAUUACUCAUUCUAUUAUAUUACUCCAUCUAUAUAUUCUCUUAUAUUACUAUAUAUAUUACGGAAAUAAUCAUCGAUUUAGAUUACUUUCAUCUAUUUAGAUUACUGAACUGAAUCGUCACAACUAUCUCUUACCCAUAAUGGAGUUCUUGCUUGUAAAUCCAUAUGCAUACAGUUCUUUCUAGCCUAGCUAUUGUAUCUCUUUGUUUCGAACCAUUCUAUCAUUCCUAAGUCUUUACUACACUAUUAUUGAUGAAGCCUAGCUAUUGUAUUUCUUUGUUUCGAACCAUGAUCUCACUUUGCGCAGAACUUGAUGAUUACCUUAACCCUGCUUUCCAGUCCUCUCUCGCAGACACUGACACAAUCAAUCCCCCGUAAACGCCUUAGAAUCUAUCUCUUUGAAAUAGAUAAUAGGAAUUAAGCCCAAUGAGCUUAAUCUUUCUUUCGAGCACAAGGUAUAGAGUGGAUUGAGUAAAGACAUAGCUUCCCUUCAUGAAACAACUUUACCGGAACCCAAGUAAACAAAUCAUGAAUUUCUUCGUUCGAACGCAGAAGCAUAGAUUCCACUCACCAAGUCACUACUAUACAAGUAACAGCUAUACGACUCUCAAUCAGGUGUUCCAGCCUAUAAUUCCAGUGUUCCAGCCUAGAACUUCAAAGAUGGUGUUAUUGAUGACAGAGGGUUAUUCUCAUGGAGGGCCUUGUUUGCCUCUCCUGAGUUGUGGUAUAUAAGUGAGUCAAUACCCCUAAACCCUGACUUGUUAAGGAUAAGGUGCGGAAAGCCUCUCCAGUGACAUCUUUUUCUAUACUAGGGCUCGAAACAAAUCAGAUCAUUCUUAAACGGAAACUUGGACUUCAUCAACUCUACUUUCAACAAAUCACUCCGUUAGCGGUCAACCACAUAAAGGGAAAGCCAAUCACCGAACCUAUACUUAAAGGACAAAGGCGGAGGACUAACUAAAGGCGGAGGACUAACUAAAGACAGAGGAAUAGGCAUACAUAGGGUGAAGCGAAAGAAAAGUCACCGACCACUUGAAGAACGAAUAGGCGCACAACUCUACUCAAAAGAAGGAAUUUCAUCGAAACUGGAAGAGCAGUACUUGCUUGCUCACUUUAUACUUUACUGAGAGCAGAAAGAAAAUGGAAUAGAGGCAUCCAGUGUUGGGAGUUUUGGCCAUUGCUUUUUAUCUACACUUUCCAGUCUGAAUUGAAAGCAUAUUGUAUAGAAGCUAGUAGAAACACACUGCCCUCACUAUAAGGAAGAGAAUGGAAUGAAUCUCUGGAAUAUCUCUCUUAUUGAGCACUAGGUAUAGAAGCUUGUAUAACAACUCCUUCCCUUUGAUUUCGCUUGUCAAAAAACUCCUGCCCCGCGAUUUGAGCCUGGAAAGUAAGCUACGAACACAUAGCUCGCCUUCCCUUCCCUUUUCGCCUAGAAAGUAAGCUAACACAUUAACCCCUUCCCUUGAGACUUUACCUCACCAAUUGAGAAUUCUGUCUGAUCUUAUUUCUACGAUGAAACGGAAACUGGGCAUUCGUGUCGAUAUGAUUCAAGUUGAACGAACUGAGAUUGAUGAACCGAGCAACACAGUAAACUAUCCUUUUAGCCACUGAUGUACUAGUUCUUGCCCGAACUCCCUUAACAGAGACAGACCUGAGCCCUUAUUUAUUUCCUGCUGACAAGCGAACUACUUACUUAUUUUCUACUGAACAAGCAACUCCAGAUCAACUCCCUUAUCUUCAUCUUAUUGCUUCGCCCGGAAAGUAGGCAAGGCACAUAUACCCCCAGAAACUCCAAUAAGUGUUAGCGCAAGGGAACAAGUCAAACAAACAGAUUGAAUUCCGUUAGUGGAACACUCUAAGAUGAAUUUCAGAAUUUCAAUAUGGAGCCGCAUGCUUUAUAACUAAGUAAGGAAUGUAACUCGAAAGAUGAAGUGAAAGCGAGGUAGAAAGGUGAAGGUUGGUGCAAGUCAGAGGUCAGCUUAGUAAUGUCCUGUUAAAGGUUAAGGUGCGUGCAAGUCAGAGGUCAGCUUAGUAAUGUCCUGUUCCAGUUUCAUCGUAUAAGUAAGCCGAAUGCGAAUCCGCUGAAGCUAGUACUUACUUUGAAGCCAUAAGUCAAGAAUAAGAAUAUUUGACUGUUUCGAGGUGAAGAAUAGAGAUCCGCUCUGGAAGUUGAAGAAUGCCCACGCCACGUUCUUUUUAUUAGGCUGCAAUGUAGUAGAAAGCUUUUAUAGGUAUUCAAUGAGUAAUCAGCUAUCAUAUGAGUUUACCCAUGGUUAAACGAGUCAAAAGAUUGAUGUUGAUAAGCCUCACCUUAACCAAAGAAGGGUUUAUAAGCCUUACCUGAACCAAAGAAAGAAGGGUUUAUAAGCCUUACCUUAACUUUCAUGCUGGGCUUGCUUGCUCCAAAUUACCUAACACGGCUUACUCUCGGGGAACAAGUAACCAGUUGCAAUGACUAACGCGAGAAUAAGAUAAUACGGGUAUAUUGUAUAUCCAAAAAGUAAUUGGAGAUCUAUGAUGAAAUUCCUUGUUUGACUUUACUCGGGCAAGACUAUGGUGGAAAGUGUUGUGUGAUGGAAUACGGUGGAAAGUUAGGUUCGAGGUUCGGAGUAUAGAGAAGCUCUUGGGGUGCGAGUUCAGGCUAAAGUCAGAUCAUAUGCAAGCAACGAAACGAGAAGGAAAUCCAAGGGGAGUUUCGCUACUCCGGAUACUAAGAACAUGGGUCUUGUCUUACACGCAAAAAGCAAAAGUAGGUGUUUCAUCCUCUUCGGUGCUAACGUUUUGGAGUUAUACAACUUUCCGGGGAAGCUAUGUAGCGAAGUCAAGGUUCGGUGCUAACGUUUCGGAGUGGAGUGAGGUGUUGUUACUUAAGUAUAUGAUGUGCGCACUCACAUUCGCUUACUUCUUCUAAGGAAGCACUAAUGCUUUGUGAAGUUUCACUCUAGUAUAUAUUAUGUAGCGCACUAGCAUUCAUUCUGUUCUUUAUGUGGUGCACUAGCAUUCAUUCUGUUCUUUAUUUGUUGUUUCUUCUUGUAGCUGUCUGUCUGAGGUAAGUAUCUGCUUUGGGUAGGUAUCUUCCCGAGUCAGUAGUACCUUUCCUCUACGUUAUGUGAGUCUAUUCGUAUUAGGAGAAUGUCUGAGGUAAGGUGGUGCCCCUUUACCGAGUGUGCUCUUUCUUUCUUUCUGCUGUUGUUAUGCAGGUUGGUUCAUUUGUUGAGCAGUAUGAGGGAAGUCUAUCGUUGGGGGAGGUCUCUUCCCGAGUCAUUGAAUUGUCAAAUGAAUGUCUGAGGUGAAAGGGGUGUAUGGUGCUACUUUACCGAGUGUAAUAAUCUUCUCUAAGGUAUCUGCUUUGCUUUAAGCUCAUAGGCAUGCUAAAGGUUUCUUCUUUGCGAGUAAAGUUUCUUCUUAUCAUGGUCCAGGUUCUGCUAAGCAUGGUCAGGUUCUGCUAAGGUGGGGUUCCGCUCUUAAUGUGGGUUGAAGCAACUAUGUCACUUUAUGCGGAUUGAAGUAUGUAUCCGCCCUAAUCCUGUCAUAGGCGGAGUCCCACUCUAUCAGUACAUUAUCUACAUCAAAGUGAUUUUCCUGAGUUGCGCCAGAGGAACUUCUUAAAUGAAAAGAAAAUAAGAGAAUCUGAAAUGAAAAGAAAAUAAGAACAGGCUGCUUUUAAGCGAGGUAUCCUUCAGUAGAGUUUAGAUAAUCUGUAGUGGGCGAGUCAGCAACAAGUGAGAAAGGUGGAGUAUCAUCAAGAUCAAAGGGGUAUUGUAUAGAACCAAGUCAUUAUUGAGUAAGAGGUGUGGGUUGGGGUUCUUCAGUAGUUUAGUUUCCGUUAAGUAUAAGUAAGCGAGGCGAAAGGCAGGAAUCCAAUAUGGAGUUGGAAGCUUAAGCAUGAAAUUCCGUAUUGCUAGGCCUAACAAGAAGCCGAUCUGAUUCCAAAGAAAGGGAAGGCUUUCAGCACCUGUAGUUUCCAUUCAUGAUUUGACUUGUGCCUUAGGAAAGGGAGUUUCAAUUCCUAUUAGUGGAUAGGGGGGUGAGAUGGAUUCUUUUGUUGUUGGUUCUUCAAUAAAGUAUUGUUUGGGGAAUAAGAGAAGCCUUACUGGUGCACGGAACUCUCAAGUGUUUGAUUGGCUUGACCUUGUUUGUAGUGAGUCGGUUCCAGUGAUGGGCGGACAAAAAGGAUGGGUUUACGGAACGAUAAGGGAAGCAGGUCGACUGAGUUUACGGAACGAUAAGGGAAGCAGGUCGAAUAGAAAUAAGUCUUAAAGAACUCAACUCGAAGGAAAGAAAGAGUAUUUGAUAGCCCCCACCAAGUAAGAGUAAGAUAGAUUGGAGUAAACCGAACACGGAGCAUACACUUUAUUAUGAAUUUGACCUAACUGCAUCCCUAACUAAAAUAAGUGUUAGCGCAGAGGAAAACAAAGAAAAAGAAUCUCUAUCUACCGACUUAGAGCCAAUAACAGAAACUUUCUGUGAAGAACUACUUACAGUACUUGCAGCUUUCGACUUGGAUUCCAGAGUGGACUUGAGUCUUUGGGCGACGAAAGAAAAGAGUUAGGGAAUACGCAGUGCCAGUUCAUUCGGUUUCUGUUAGAGUUUACGACUUCACUUAAUAUUGAAGAUGAUCUACGUCGGCAAAGGGACAAGUCACGUAUAUUGUUAGAUCCGAUUUCCAAGAAGGGGAAGCCCUGUCUUUACUGAGUUCUAUACUAUGUGCACUUCCAUUAAUGGCGCAAGAAAGCAAACGGAUUGAACUCCUUCCUAAAGUUUCACAGGAGCAAGAAAUCAAGAGAGUUUGAACGCUAAGCAAGAGGGAGUUAAGUCAGCUGUUGUUUUCCUCGGUUCCGCAAGUGUUGUUUAGGUCAGACAAGACUAAGUGGCGCACUAUAAUCAAUGGAGCUCAUCAAUUCUGUAAUUCCAUUCAAAAGGUGAACUGUCAGGUUAUCACUUUUGAUACUAACCCCCAAUAAACAAUACUUUCCGCUUGCUGCUGGGCGCUAAGGAACACAAGACCAUAAUCUCGUCCAAUUAUAUAAGGAAGGGCAAUCCUUCUUUUUUUGAGAAAAGUGUAAGGCAGGGGAAACCUCAAUUGUUGGAAAUCACCUAUCUCACCUAUCUCACCUACCCCGCCCAGUAAAGAGAGUUGGUUGGGACAGGCAAUACUUAACGCUUCAGCAAAGUCAACAAAGAAUUCCAAUAAUGAAGCUUUAUCCUUCCUUUAUAUCAAAUACUUGAUCCUUCCUUUAUAUCUAAUAUUUAAAGACUUGAUCCUUCCUUUAUAUCUAAUAUGGGAAUUUCCACUACUACCUUUACGCCAACUCCCUUUCAGCUUGCAUGAUACCCUGGCUUUCCUUUCGCCCUUGAGAGACUAGAUCGACUUGACUUUCGAUCCCUUCUCUACGUAACCUAACGCUUAAAACAGUACUUUCAUAUCUUUCUUCUUUCUAGUGCAUAGUCAAACUUAUCUGAAGUAAAGAAUCUGACCUGUAUCUAUACGAUCCAUCAACUGUGACUUAAUUGAUCCCUGCGCUCCGUUCCUAGGAAUCUUCUGGAGUUUUGUUUCCUCUGCAUUCCUGUUUGAGGUAAAGGUGAGAGGUGCGCCUUAGGUAUUCCCGGUGUGCUAGCCCUAGCCUAGGUAUUCCCAGUGUGCUAGCGCUAGGUAUUCUCUGUGUGCUAGUGGGUCUCCCUGUCUGAGGUAAGUCUAUCUUUUCCGUAGUGAAGUUCCCGAGUCGUAGGUUAGCACAUACUGUCUGAGGUCAAAAGGGUCAGGGUACCGUUUCCCGAGUCAAGUGUUUCUCUUCCUCUUGCAGCUUUCUCUCUUUCUUCUGUUGUUCCGUAUACUAUCUAUUCUCUUAGUUCUUCUCCCGUAUGUAUCAAAUCUCUACUCCUUUCUUCGCACUACUGGAUUAUUGAGUUCCCGAAAACAUGAAAUAAAGUAUGCUUUGGCGCUAGGAAAGAAUCCGGAAUGUAAUUGUUGUGAAUUGAUCUAUAAUUACCUGUUUCUGUACAAUAAACUACUCCCUUUGCUUUUGCCUAACAAUACUUUCAGACUCAUACCUUUCCUUUACGGAAACUAGAGACAACACUCGAACAG